rnacentral:lncRNA from 1 species
UCAUUUCUCCUAUUGCAUCAUAUCACGUGACCUAUUUAUAUUCAUAUUGAUUUACUAGGAUUAAUAGUGUUGGAAAGGAAAUAUCAAUUUUGUUUCUUCUACAACUUAACAAUUAACUUAAAUGCUUGUUUGGUAUUGUUAUAAAUCUGAGACUUAGACUGAAAAGUGAAUUGUGAACUUAUGUUUAUUAUUAGAUUAAAAAGUGAGUUGUGAACUUAGGUUUAUUAUUAUAAAUUAUUUAUACUUAUUUUAUUUGUGUAGUAAGUUACGUGUGUUUUUAUUAGUUGAAUGGUGUUGGUUAUUAAUUAUGAUUUCUAUUAUUAAUACUGAUUUCACCGUUAUACCGUUAUUGUUUCAUUAAUGGUUAGUUUACUUAUUUCCUUCCAUUAGUUUCCUACAAUUGGUAUCAAGAGCUAGUCUGUUAUCAUGAACUCUACCCAAUUACUAGUCCUAUGGAAAAAAUUACAAUCAGUGGUGUGUGCAAAUGAGAGUUUUUUUUAUUAUUUAUUAUCAUGAGUUAUGGGAUGUCGUUGAGGGUGGAGUGGUUGCAUUAGCUGUUAAUGCAAUUGAGGCGCAACGAGUAGCGCAUCAUGAUGACAAUAAGGCUUUGUAUCUCAUCCAUAGGGAUGAAUGACAAGACGUUUGAGAAAAUAUAAGGAGCAACAACUGCAAGUGAUGCUUGAAUCAUUUUGUCAACCAAUUAUAAAGGGUGAUGACAAGAUCAAUAGGGUGCGUCUUCAAACCCUAAGACGCCAAUAUGAACUGUUGCAGAUGGAAACCACAUAGAUUAUUGAUGUCUAUAUAAAUAAAGUUCUUGCCUUGACAAAUCAGAUGAAAAGCAAUGGUGAAACACAUUCGGAGCAGGCAAAGGUGGAGAAGAUUUUGAGGUCUUUAACUCCCAGAUUUGAACAUGUUGUUGCCGCAAUUGAAGAGGCCAAUGACAUUUAAAAAAUGACAGUAGGGUUAUUGUCUGGUUACCUACCAGCGCAUGAGCAGCGAAUGAAUGACAAUAAUAUUGAAAAACCAAUUGAACAGGCUUUACAAGCACAAGACUCAAUUGGUAGCUCUUAUCAUAAACACGGUAGUUCACGAGGCAGAGGACGGGGACAUGGUGGUAGCUAUUCCAGCAAAGGUCGUGGUGGCUAGAAUCAUGGAGGCGCUGAGCAAAAUAACAUUGGUUUCAAUCACAUUCCAAGUUCAAAUAACUCUUGACGUGGAGAACGUGAUCGCGGAGGAUGAGGAGGCAUUUAUAAUAAAUCAAAUGUGGAGUGUUAUAACUGUCAUAAACGCAACCAUUAAGCAAAUGAGUGCAGAUCAAAAAGUGAUAAUCAUGCUGCCAAUUGUGCUCAAGAAGACAGUAAUCACGUACAAGAUGAAGAGGAUCAUGCAUAACUAAUGACAGCCACAUCAAAUGAAACUCCAAACAAUCAGACUUGGUAUUUGGAUACAGGUUGCACAAAUCAUAUGUGUGGUCAAAAGGAGUUGUUUGCAUAUUUGGAUGACUCAUUUUGCACAAAAGUGAAAUUCGGUGAUGGCAGGGUCGUUCCGGUGACUGGAAAAGGGCGAAUUCUUAUCACAUUGAAGAAUGGUGAUCACAGGUACAUAUAUGAUGUUGUCUAUGUACCUGAUAUGAAAAGUAAUUUGUUGAGUAUGUGACAACUGGCUGAGAAGGGUUAUGUGAUGUACAUAGUUGAAAAUAAAUUCUCAAUUUUUGAUAAAAAAUGUAGUUUGAUUCUUAAAACCUUUUUAUCAAAAAACCGUAUGUUUCCAGUAGAUAUUCAUAUGGGUGACUUCAAGUGCUUGAAUGCAAUAGUGAAUAAUGAAUCGUGGUUAUGGCAUUUACGCUUUGGGCACUUAAAUUUUCAGAGUUUGGAAAAUCUCUCCAAACGAAAUUUAGUGAAUAGUUUACCCCAUAUUUAUCACCCUGAUCAAUUGUGUGAGACUUGCAUUUUUGGAAAGAAUCACAGGAUACCAUUUGUUAAGGAGCCUUGGCGUGCAAAAUUUCCUUUGGAGCUUGUUCAUAUAGAUGUUUGUGGCUCAAUGAACAUAUCAUCAGUUGGAGGUAAUAAGUAUUUUUUAACCUUUAUUGAUGAUUUUUCAAGGAAAACCUGGAGUUAUCUAUUGAAAAGCAAGGAUGAGGUAUUCCACUGCUUUAAAAUAUCAUAUUUAAAGCAUUUGUUGAAAGACAGAGUGGCAGACAAAUUAAGAUGAUGCGUAGUGAUGGAGGGGGUGAGUACAAGUCUAAUGAGUUCAAGAGGCACUGUGAAGAACUUGGAUUGCAACAUAACAUAACAUGUCUCUACACACCUUAACACAAUGGAGUUGUCGAGAGAAAGAAUAGAACAAUCAUGGACAUGGCGUGGAGCAUGCAUAAAGCGAAAGGUAUGCCAAAUUAUUUUUGGGCUGAGGUCGUAACAUGUGCGGUAUAUUUGAUAAAUAGAUCACCCACUCGGAGUGUUCCUAACACAACUCCGAUUGAGGCAUGGAGCGGAUUCAAACCCAAUGUGCAACACUUGAAGGUAUUUGGGUCUAUUACUUAUGCUCAUGUCCCCAAAGCAGCAAGAUCGAAGUUGGAUGAUAAGGCAGAGAAGACCAUUUUCAUUGGAUAUAAGCAUGGGGGAUACAAAUUGUACAAUCCAAUGACAAAGAAGGUGAUUGUUAGUUGUGAUGUUACAUUUGUCGAAGAUGAGGAAUGGCAAUGGAAUGCAACAGUUGAAAUUGAUUAAAAAAAAACGAUAUAUUUACGUUUUGAACGAUGAUGUGGAAGAUGGAGUCACUCUUGAAGCACCUGCAGUUCAACCAGAAGCUGCAAUUCAACCUGAAGUUGCAAAUCCAAUUGCAACUAUGAUGGAGCGACCAAGAAGGCAGCAACGACAACCUGUACACCUUCAAGAUUGGCGAAGUAAAUCUUGAUGAUGAAGUUGAUGACAAUGGAGAUUUGGUUCACUUUGUUUUUCUUGCAGAUUCAGAACCCAUGAGACUUGCAGAUGUCAUUCAACACCCCAAAUGGCAGAAGGCUAUGAAUGAAGAAUUGAUGGCGAUUGAGAAAAACAAUAUCAUGACUCAAAUUUGUUUUAAUCCAGAUAUUCCAAUUAAGAUUUAUGUUGACAAUGUCUCUGCAAUUAAUCUUGCAGAGAAUCCAGUUUUUCAUCAAAUAAGUAGUCACAUUGAUAUUCGAUAUCACUUCCUGCGAGACCAAGUUAAGAAGAACAUGAUCAAAUUGGAAUACUACAGAUCAGAAGAUCAGAUUGCAAAUAUUUUCACUAAGCCAUUGAAGAUCAAUGCUUUCAUCAAGUUAAGAAAUCUGUUGGGUAGGAAGGUUGCUCCAAAUCAGAAUUAAGGGAGGAUGUUGGUUAUUAAUUCUGAUUUUAUUAUUAUUAAUUCUGAUUUUAUUAUGCUUAAACUAUUUUACCGUUAUUAUUGCAUUAAUGGUCAGUUAGUAUUCCUAUUUUAUAACUUCCAGUAUUUGUAAUUUUAUUAUAUAUAUUAUAUAUAUUAUUGAGUAAAUCAAAAUAUAUGAUACCAGCUCAACAGUUUUGCAAUCUUGUGCAAUUACCUUCAAUCAGUUUCUACAACAUUUUGCCUUCUCUUAUUUCCUUCAAUUAGUUCCUACAAAUGAGAAUAUAAUUAAUAUAAUUAUUUAAUAAGAAACUUAUAUACCACCUCAAGUUAUUUUGGAGUCAAAAUAUUAUAGGAAUGGUUAUCAAUGAAUGAUUUACUAAAAGUGGUAAAUUUUCUUGAGGUUUUAUGAAUGUGAAACCUAAAUAUGUAAAUUUUGAUAGUCAAAAGACUAAUCCCUUUAAGAAUUAAUAUAUUUCAAUAAAAGUGAUUGGAUAUGGUUUUAGUUUGGAGUCAACAACUUAAAGAGACUUGUGUCAAUGUGUAAUCUAUUCUAAUCCACAUAGGUUGAACUCCUAUUAAGGAUACAUAAAUUUUUAAUCUGAUCAACAAGCUAAAGAGAUUGUAUUAAAAAUAUUUCAGUAGUCUAACAGUGGUUGCGAAUUCACGUGAUAUGUGUAGCUCUCAAAGUAAAUAACUUGUUUUCCAAGCUAUCCAAAGAGAUCAAUAUACUUGUCUCCCAAGAGAUUUAUUACUACCCAUGUCAUUUAGACACAAAUAUUUAUGAUAUUGGUAAAAUUAAAAAAAAAUAACUUUACCUACAAAUAGUUAAAAUAUUUGAAAUAAGUGAAGUAAAUGAAUAAUAUAAAUUUAUUCAGAGAUUAUUUAUUAUGAUAAACCUAAUUUAUUUUAAAAGAAUAUAUGACUAAUACAUUUUUUACUUACUCAAAUAUAGUUUAAUUUAUUUUAAAAAAAAUCCAAAAGCUAAAACUUUAGAACAUAAUAUUUUAAAUGUUUUACUUUACACGUGUAAUCCUUAACUAUUUAAAUGUUAUACAAUUAUUAUAGAUAUAAUAACUAUUUUAAAGAAAAUAUUUUAUUUAUUUUAUACAUUUUUCUUACAACAACAAAAUAAAAACCAUAGAUAAAUCCCACUCUUUUAGUGUUUUUUUUUUCUUUCUCUUUUCUCAAUUUGCCAAUUUGCCGUCAUUGUUGAAGAUCUCACCCACUAAUCAAAGUCAUAUUUGAUGUGAAUGUUCUCUUCAAUUCAAAGUUUAUCUUAAUAUUAUGCUAAACUUAGACUUAGUCUAAACCUUACUGACUUGAUUUCAACUUUUCUUUAUAUUUCUUCUUUUUAUACAUAACUUUUCAAACUUUUAAUCUUACACAAAAAGCAUGUCAUUCUUCUCUGACAACAUUUUAUUUCAAUUUUUCUUGAUGGUGUGCUUCAUUUGAAAUUUCAUUUUACUUUAUAUUUCAAUUUUGCUCAUAAGUUAUGAUUGGAGUUUAUUCUAAUUUUUUCCAGUGUCUUAAUAUUUUUCCAUAGUGUGUUUGAUUUUUUAAUUUUCUAUGCAAAAAUUAGUGUUAAUAAUUGUGUCUAACUUUUCUUGUACUCUGUCCUUUAGUUUGAAUGCUUCAUCCUCUGUUCUGCUUCUAAUUUUUCUUAUAUUUUAUCCUGUGUUUUGAAUGCUUAAACUUUUACACUUGUUUUAACCUGUUUUGCUAUUAAUUGUUGUUUACUUGUUGUGAUAUAAGGUUUGCGUGAUUAGUUAGUUGAUGGCAUACAAGUAAUGAAGAACUUUUAAGUAACACAGUUAGUUAAUACUCAAUUAUUAAAAUAUUGCAAGACAUUUCUUAAAAGUGUUUUAUGUUUUAUGUAAUUGUAUUUACCUAUAAUGAAGUUGAUAGCGAAAGAAAUAUUUAAUACUUUUUUUUUCUUUUUUUUUUCUUUUGGAAGGAAUCGAGGGAUACAAACUAUAUCUUCAUAUAUGGAAAAUUAAUUUAGUUAUAUCAGUUGCUAAGUGAAGAUCAAGAUCAUUUGUUUAUUAGUGUGUACGUAUUGAUGUGUUUUGGGAUUAUUAAAAUUUGACGUGUUUGAUAAAGAGUGAUUUAUUCAUAAGUAAACUAUGUUUUGGGAUUAUUAAAUUACGUAUUGAUACUUUUAUUUUCGUGAGGGGAAUGCAUGUGCUGAUAAGUUGACUAAUUUAGGGUUCAUUCAUAGAUAAUCAUUUUAUUGGUAUAAUAGACUUCUAUCUAGUAUGUUCUUAGAAUUCUUUAUGAAUAGGUAUAGUCUACCUAUGUAUCGUUUUUGUUAACAUGUGAGUUUUGGUCUAAUCCUCCCAUAUUUUGGUAUUUUUUUUCUUUUUUUUAAUAAUAUGUUUUUCAUGUGAUGGCAGAUGAUUGUUGUUACUUGAGGUGUCAGCCUAGCUGAGAUGUCAAGUUGCAUAAUGAUGUCUAACAUGGAAAAUUUUAUAAAAAAUAAAAAAACAAAAAAAAACUAUGGUUUUUGUUAUUGAGAAAUUGUUUUUAAGAAAGUGUUGAUUACAAAUUACUAUUUUUUUUAAAAAAAAAUUGUUUUGAACAUCGUAACAUCUUUUUAAUGAAAAAUAUUUAUUGCAUAUAGGGGCUUUUAACAAGUUUGGAAUUGAGUGGAAAUUGGUGUUGGUUUAUGUUGCAAGUUGAUGGUUGAAUCAUAUUCAUAGAUAGAGUUGGUACUUUUUAAUAAUGUAAUUUAGUAUAUUAUUGAUAUUUUAAAAUGAUAAAGAGUGUGUGUAUAAUCUCAAUAAUAUAUGAUUUAAAUGUAUUAAAAAUUGAACUUUAAACAUAAAUCAACUUUAAAAAAUCGACUCAUAAGUUAAGGUUUGCACUUACUUAUAUAUUAUGAAAUGUUUUUAUCUUUGGUCGAUGUAGGAUUUUCAACAUUUCCCUUCACGUCAAGAUCUAUCAAUUCGUGUGUGAAACUAUAUAUUUAUAGGUGGUCAGAUAGCAACCGACCUUAUAAGUCUAACAAACUCUCAUUAGGAUAAACUGUAAAUGACUCUAAUACCAUAUUAAGAAGUGAAUUUUAAGCUUAAUUCAAUUUUAUAAAAUCAAUUCAUAAGGUAAUAUUUACACUCACUUAUAUAAUAUGAAAUGUUUUUAUUUCUAGUCGAUCUGAAAUCUCGAACAAAAUGUGAAAAUAUUCAAUUUUACAAGUAUGAUUAUUAUAAUUAUUAAAUAGGAGAGAUAUGAUUAUUAAGAUCUCAUUACUUGUAUUAUAAAAAAAACCCACGAACUAAAUUUUGUAUUGAUAAAAACUUGAGGAUUGUGGUUGAAAAGGCAGAACAAUUGUAAGAAUUAUCUUUUCAAGCAUAAUACAAAGUAUUUCUUUGUAAUUGAUAAAAAUUUAAACUGACACAUCAAAUAUUUAAAUUAUAUUAUUGAAAAUGGGUUCAUAGAUGAUUUAAAGAAGUAUAUGGUACAAGUUGAAAAUUUAAGAGGUUUUAAAGCAAUAAUAAUCAUAAAAUUUGGAGGAAUGACGUCCAUUCAAAAGUGAUAGGAUGAAAAAAGAAAGACAUGUAUGUUGUUUUAAUAGACUUCCACCAACUAAAUAUUUAAAUAUCUCAUCUCAAAAUUCUAUAACAGAGAAUAAGAUUAACAAUUUAGAAAAGAUUUUUAAAAAUCUUUUAUCUUUUCUUUAGAAAACAUUUUUAAAAAUCUUUUAUCUUUUCUUUAGAAAACAUUUUUAAAAAUCUUUUAUCUUUUCUUUAAACAUGAUGAGUGGUAAUUGUUCUUGCCAACAAUGUGGAAUCACAUCUUCAAGGUAGUCUCCGAACAAUCUUUCGGUAUUGUAGUCCUUGAGUGCUUGAAGAUCACCAAGUGAUGAGGGGAGCUCCACUCGUUGACAAGACUUCGACAAUCAAAUCAGUGAGAACAUUAAAUAUUUCAAUGUAGUAUGUAUUGCAUAGAAUAAUACUUGUCUUUGUUUGGGGACUCAUGACCCUUAUAUAGGACUCGUAGAUCCUUUUUUAGGAGUUUGUAAUCAGACACUUCCUUUGAACUUUUAGUUACACGAUUCGAUUUGUUGGACUCGAUCCGACUGACCCGAAAACGUCUAUUGAGUCCGAUCCAUUGGACCGAAAACACCCGAUCCACAUUAUCGGGUUCUACCCCGAUCUUGACUGAACGAUACAGUAAUAUACAAAUUGUAAAUAAAAAAUAAAAAAUAUAGUAAUUACAUUUAAUCAUCUAUAAAAAAAUUUAAUACUAAUAUGAUAUUUUAAAAAGAUAUUUUUUUCGGAAACACUUGAUGAUGAUGGAAGGAUUGAAAUUAUUCUAAUAGUAAUGUUUAAACACAGUAAAAAAAAGUCAAGUGAUAUGAUAAUGAUUGAAAAUUUACUUUUAAAUACAAUUAUCAUUUUUUACUAUAAGAUCAAUUUUUUUAAUGUGAUUACAUAUAUUUUAUAAAUGAUGUGGAUUUUUAUGGCCUGUACACAUCAUUAAUGAGUGAGAUAAUAUGUUUAAUCAUUUGCCAUUUAAUUUUUAGUACUUUCAAUGAACAAAUGAGAUUCAUAUGUAAGAAAUUUAGCAUCGAUUAUGACUCAUAGGACACAAAAUGUAUUUCAUUGAGUUGAGUGUGGUAUUUCAAUACCUAAUUAAUAUUUUUUUUGUCAUUAGUAAUUUGGUAUUGAUUUAAAAUCGAAAUUGUUGUUGACUAUUAAGAUUUAUUUGCUUUUGUAACUAUUAUGUUUUCCUCUUAUAAAUUUUGUUUAUAUUUUAGAUUAUAAAGUUGUUGUAAAACAUUGCAAAAACUUUUCUUAGUGGUUUUUAUCUAGUACAAUCAUUUAUAUUUUAGUGGACUUUUAUUGAAUUGAAUACACCCUACUCCAAUAGCCUAUGACGAGUCACACAAAUUUCAUUUGACAACAAAGAAUCUAUAGGGACAAAAAGUGGAACUUAUAGAGAAUCUUUAAAUUCAAAUUGAUAUUUUGAAUAAGUGAACAAAAAGUUAAACCCAUUUAUUAUAGCCAUUGUUUCCAAAAAUAUUUAAUAGUGAAUAUUUGAGCAAAUAAUGUAGAAUGUAUUAUAGCUAAAGACAAACAUCAUAUUAUUGUUUGGUACACGGAAAAUGUUAUAUUAUCACAAUUAUCGGUAUAUAUUAAUAAAUUUAUUCUCAAAAUUUUAACUAAUAAAUUUAUUCCACCAUUUUAUACAUGGACUAUAAUGAUAGAUUGUUAAAUGCCCUUAAAAUUUUACAUCACACUUUAUAUAGUAAAAAUAUUAUCAUGAUAUCUAUUACAAUGAAAGAAUGACAUAAACAAAAAUAUUUUGGUAUUAAAAUAUUAACGAAAAAUAAUAAAUUAUAUGGUAUUAUUAGUAAAGUAAGGAACUAAAAAUUAUUGAAGUUUUUGUGGAAUAAACUCAUACGGAAUAAUAUGUCAAAAAAAUUAAUUGAACUUAACAAUUGUUUUUUAUUAGCUAUAAGAAUGAAAUUAAUAAAGAUAUAUAUUUUAGAGAUAUAUUAACCUUAUACAAAAUCAUCAUUAUCAAACUUUCAUCUUGCAUUAAGUCUAUAAUGAUAUUAUACUCAAAACAGAUUAAUCAUACUAAAAACCACAACAUAAUCUAUUAAUCCAAACUUCUUAAAAAUGAUGUUCUUCUCAUAUUGAAUAUAUAGUUUUUAUUGAAGUUAAUAGUAACUCAUCAUGAUUAAAAAACAUGUUGUUUAGAGUUAAUUUUGUUUGAUAGACAAUUAUAUCAUCUAACUAUAUUACUUUAUUGUGUAAUUCCACUAUAUUGAUAUAAGUCUCAAUUUGAUGUACGGGAAAAGAUAGAAAAGAAAGAAAUGGGAGGAGUACAUUUGUUUAGUUAAUUAAAAAAGCUAAAUAAAUAUGUUUAAAAAAUUGUGAAACUGUGAAGUAUAUGAUAAGAAAAUCUGAACUUGUAAAUAUUUAUAACUAAAGUCUGCAAAAAGUAUAAAUAUUUUAAUUAUUUAUUUGUUAAAAGAGUGAAUAUGGAUAUCAUGCUAUUUAGUUAGCGAAUGUUCACUGUCCAUUAUUAAUUAUUUUUAUUUGAAUAUAUUUUUUAAUUAAGCAAUUGAGUAAAAUUAUUAACGAGAAAACAUUAAAAAUUGAUGAAUUAUUUAUAACUUAAUUUUAUAAAUGUAUAGUUUUUAUUUAGACUUGUGGAGCUAAAAUUAUCUUCAAAAGAUUAAUUUUAUUUAAAGUUAUAUUGUGAAGAAUUUUUUUAGAAUGAUUAAUUUUUUUCUAAUAAUAGCUUAUGAAACAUUUUUAUUAUAAUUAUACAUUAAUAUCAAUAUUUUAUCUUAUUUUAUUUUAUGUUUUAAAGAAUAAUUUUUAAAUAAUAUUAUUUUCUUAAAAGAAGGAUCCACGUGUAUCUAUUGAAAUAGGCAAGUAUUUUAAAUAACAUUAUAUUUUUUUAGUAGAAAUACUUCUUCAUAAGAUUUAUUUAUAAAUAACAAGUCACUUUAGAUAUGGUUAUCUCCUACUUCCAUAUCAAUGUAGACUCUUAUAUGUGUGACGUCAUUUAUUAUGAACUUGAAAUGUACUAUCUUAAGUGUAUCCUAUAGAAAACACCAUCACAUUCAAGUCAAAUAAUAUAAAAAUUAAGUAAUAAAUGAAUAAUACAUAUUUUGAGAUCUUCACCAUUAACUUUUAUUUAUAUCGAGUAUCGGUGGUUAAAUAUGACUUUAGUAUUGAGUUAAGAUUUUAAUAAUAAAAAUAUAGUGUAAGGGAAAAUAAUGUUAAUAUUUUAAUACUUUUGCGUGUUGAAAGAAAGAAAACAAAUCUAAAAAUAACUAUAGUUUAAACUUCGUUAAUUUUAAUAAAAAGCAUCUUCAAAACCGUAUUUAGUAGUAUAUAUAAUUGUAUUAUUUCCAGUUAUUUAUUUUAUUUUGUAGAUGCUUUCUAAAUUUAAAGGAAGAACCCAGACUUUAACCAAAACAUAUUUCUAUCCAAAAUAAAUGUAUGGUUAUGGGAAAAAAUAGCCUACAAUUGAUCAUACAAUCCAUUCAUUAAAUAAUGGAGUACAAUACAAUGUGCUAUAAUGAACCCAACAACGUCUUGUUCUAGGUUUUGUAUAUUCAGUCAUUGAUUUCUAAAUUUUUAUAUGAAUGUUUACAAUAAUAUUUCAAGGUCAAGUUAGUACUUCCUCCGAAUAAAGAAUAUAAAGUAAAAAAAGUUAAGAAUUCAUUAAUUAAUACUUAGUUUGAAGAAAAAACAUAUAAUAAAAAGUUAUAUAUUUAUUAUUUUCAAUUCACCUAUUUAUAACGGUAUUCUUCUAGUUAAGAAGAAUGUCUUCCAACUAAAGAUUUAGUUUAGUCAAAAAUAGUUAUUUCCAACUAAAUUGUAGUUCUGUCUCAUACCAUCAUCUUCCUCUUUUAUUUAAUAAUUAUUUCUCUAUUAUAGUAUUUGUCUCAUUCUUAGAUACAUUCUUAGAUUAAUUACAAUCUCGCAUAUUCAGUUAAUGUUUGUCACUUUCAAUAAAAAAAAUAAAAAAAAAUUUCAUUAUUUUAAUAAAUAGAUCAAUAUCAUAACCGUUUUCAUCUAUUAUUGGAAUCGACUUAUGAUCUCACAGUUCUCAAAUUCCAACAUAAUCCAAUGAGACUAAUAAGAUCAUGAAGUAAUUAAUUAUAGGAUGUAUCUUAAAUUUUGACUGAAAUCCAUACCAUUGAGGUUGAUGCAAAAGUUCACAUAUACUAUUAUACCUCAUCUAUAGAAAUGAUUAAUUGAGAUCCAAAUAGACUUAGAUGCGCUUAAUCAUAAUUUAUAUAUUGUUUACUUUACUCUACUUAUUAAUUAUAUUAUUACACCCUUAAUUUCACUUUAGAGAUACUUGCAUCAUUCAGUGGUGAGAUGUUGGGAUAUCGAGUGUGAUAUCGACACCUCAUAUAUUCCGGUACAAUGCAUUUGAGGAAAAUAAAAACCGAUCAUAUGUAUAAUUUUUUGUUUUCUUCCAUGCUUGGUUGUCACUUAGGUCAAUUCAGCACGAACCAACAUACUCCAUUUCAUCUUCUCAUAAAUCGAAGACAAUAAUUCCAGGAAAUGAAAAUGGGGUAUGUUAAUAAAGAAAAAAAAUAAGAGAAAAUUGCACAUAAAUAAAAUUCAAUUGAGUUCUUAAAUUACAAUGAUAUUGAAAAGAGUAGAAAUAUAUAGUUAAUUUGGUGAAUAAACAAAGUAGGUUGGAAAAAUGCGAUGAAAGCAUGAUAAGAUAGUUGUGGUUGUCUGUGGAAAUGCGAAACCCCUCUUUCUUGUUUUGUUUUGCACAUAUUUUACAAGCAAAUCCGACAAACAGAAAGAAUUGCAUAAGUCCAAACCUACUGGUAUUAUUUAGACGUUAAUAAUUGCCAGCUUUUGCCAGCUCCUACUUCAUCAUUAAAAUAUAAUUUAAAAAAAUAGACACAGAAACAGUAGUGAAGACUUUGCUCCUCAGUCCCAAAAAAUGACAACGGGAUACACUGGAUUUCCACACUUUCUCACAUGCUCGUCUUUUUCAUUUUCUGCCACGUGUAUUGUAAUGUAGCAAGGUCCCUCUGGUUCCAGCUGCGCAAACCUCACUCUCUUCCUUCAUCAUCAUCAUCAUCAUCAUCUUCUACCACUACAGCCACAAUAAACAUGCAUACCGUAUUUUUUCUUUUCAAAUAUUAUACGUAUACUUUUUGAUAUUUUAUUUCCGUUUGAGUUGAGUAGUUGUUCUCCAUUUGCAACGGUUACCUAAUAUUAUUCUCUGUUUCCAUCUACCCCAUUAUCAACUACGUAUUGCAUAUAAAACAUUAGCGAUAAUGAAAGAAAGGGUCAUGUAUCUGCUUUCUCAAUCAUUAAUGCAAAAUUACCGAAUUUAAUGAUGUUACCAUUACGAAUGGAGAAAGGGUCAAACCAAAAAUAAAAAGUGCACCUUUUCAACUGGCGGACAAAGGACGAGACACGAGUGGCAUCAACGCGGGUAAAGCACCCCGCGUUUUACUACCAGACGGAACCCAUCAACGGGCUAUAAAGGACACACGUGUGAGUUCUAGAUCAACGGUCAAAACACAAGGGCACUCUAGUAAUAUCGUUAAACGACUUUAUGAGUUGUUGAAAAGUUAUGGUCUUUCCGAGGAAAGAAAAAGUAAAAAAUAAUAAUAAAAAUGGAUUUUUUUUCAUUAUUUUCAUAGUACACAUUUUGUUUUCAUUAAUGGAAUUUUAAAUUGUAUUAUUUUUUGUUGUUAGAACAAACAGAGGGCUAGAGUGAAAAUAAAUUUAACGGGGAGAGGAGAGAGAGUGGGAAGCAUAUGAGAAUAGGAAGAUGGGUGGAAAAAACGCCGUACAGAGGGGUGGCGGAUGACAGCGACUGCUCACUGACCCACAUAACUGACACGUGUCCUGACGCAAAAGGGUGUGGAGGUAAUAUUGAGCAAGCAUAAUGGAGAAAAAGGCAAAGAAGGAACACACAUUAACAAAAAUCAAUUGGGCAGAAGAUCCACAUAUGCCAGCUAAUAUUUUGCACAUUUACAGAAAGAGAGGAAAAAUUGUAGUAGAGGCGGAAGAAAGUUGAAAUGAAGAUAAAAUAAAAAAAAAGAAUAAAGAAUAAAAAAGUGGGAAUGGAGAGUUAAGUGUUGACCCAUUAUUAUUACUCACAUCACACCGGCCUGACCUAGUCCAGGGUAUUAGGGAAGAUGAGGAAUGGGGACAGGCAGCAUAGAAGGAGUAGAUGCACAUCACAACAUAUAAAAAUAUUAAUAUAUAUAGUAAGGUUGGGAAAAUAAUGAGAUAAAAAAAAUUGUGUGUGAGCAUAUAGAAGGAAAUUAAAUUAGGACAUUGGAGUUGGAGGAAUCUUUGAGCAUUAUUGAUGCAUUAAUCGCCACUCCUUCAACGGUUCAUAUCUUACCUCUUUUUAUAUAUUCUGUUCCCUUAUCAUCUUCCACUGCUCAACUCUCUCUCUCUCUCUCUCUAACACAAGCUUCCGUUUUUCUGUUUCUCUUCUCUCUACUCAGAACAUGGGUUCUUCUGCAGUACAAUUGUUUCUCAUCUUGGGGCUUCUGGCUACUUCUUGCAUAGCACAAGCCCCAGGUGGCGCACCCACGCAGCCUCCCACAACCACCCCACCACCACCGCCCGCAGCAGCACCAGUACCUGCACCCACUGCACCCGCAACUCCACCACCAUCUUCACCACCACCUGCACCCACACCCGCACCCACACCAACUGCUCCCACUCCUGCUCCAGCUUCUUCUCCUUCAUCUGCUGCAUCUCCCUCAGCUGAGUCACCAGGCUCUCCUACAUCUCCCCCAGCACCACCGGCCCCCUCAUCUGCACCUUCACCCUCAGUCAGCGAACCACCACCCUCACCCUCCUCCGCAUUCUCCGUUGGCAAGGCCUUCGUUGCCGGGUCUGCGCUCGCGGGAACCUUCGUAGCCAUGGUCUUGGCUUGAAGACAGACCUGACGGUUGGGAUUCGUCCACGUGGAGGCUCUUGGGCCCUUGAUCUUGUUUUACAGCGACGGACGGACGGACGGGAUCUGUUUCAUUUAUUUUAUCCUCUGGUCUUGUUGAGUAGCGGUUUUCUUUUUCUCUCUUUGGGGUUUUAUGUGUUAGUUUUGUUCGUUCGUGGUUGAUGUGUUUGUUGAUUCGAUAUCUGGGAGGGUUGGGUGUUGAUGAUGAUGAUGAUGAUGAUGAUGAUGGUGAUGGUAUUCAUGAUUAUGAUGAUUAUUUUGUGAUUCAUUGUUCUGGUGUUCACACGUGUACGUAGAUGACCUUGAUGAUUUCAUUGUACAUCUAAUAAUUGAAAGAAUAAAACAGUUUGUCAUUCUUUUUACUUACAAUCUUGUUCCUUGUUAAUGUGCAAAACCCUCGUUUUUCAGAGCCACCACCUCUAACUUCUUCUCAUUCUGGAAUAUAUGCAUAAUUAUUCCGACUUCUACACAUUAUACUCCACUUUCCUCCUUUUUCAAAUUACUGCUUUAAUUCGACCAUAGAUAUACUGCCACGUCUUUUAAAUUCAAAGCAUCUUUUUCUGCUUUUCAUUCAGACCACACAUCCAAGACCAACCAAAUUUUGUCCUCUCAUUUACAAUUUUUUAUUCCUUUGCAUUAUGUCAUUACUCCAUAACUUGAUAUUAUUAUUAUUAUUAUUAUUAUUACACUCUUAUUUCUUAAUGAAGUUUCACACUCAAAUCUCACUAAUGCAAUCUACAUUUACCAUUUUACAUUAUCGAUUCAAGAAAAAUAUUUUAGAUUCAAGCGUUUAAAUAUUAACAAAUAAUCUUUUGGAAAAACAAGAUUUGCUUAUAUUCUUCACAGGGAAUUAACUUUUUUUAUGGAAAUCAUUCCACUUUUGCUAAUUCGACAUUUUAUGAGAUGCUGCGAUAAAUCAUAAAACCUUUACCUACUUUUAUGUUAAAAAAAGCUUUUUUUUUCCUUAAAAUUAGAAUGGCGUCAUCUUUUCCAUGUGAGCGUGUUGAUGAUGAAAGAAGGUUCUAGGUUGUUUUGUAAAGAACGUGGGUUUCCUCGUCUUUUCCUUUCAGUGUUGUGGAGAUUUGUUUAAUGCCCUGUCAAUUCCGCAGGAAAUUGACAUGUUAUGCGACCUUUUUCCUAAAUAUAAUAGUAGUAUAAUAUUUUUUUAUGUGAAAGUUCCUAAAUAUAAUAAUAUUAUUAUAUUUAUUAUGUGAAAGUGAGAAGCACGUAGUAGGAGAUAGAUGCCUCCAACAAGAAUUUGUAUUAUUGCAAGCAAGGUGGAUCUGGUUAGCAAUUGGUUAAACUGCUAACCCCUCACUCACUUCAUUACAGGAUUAGAUCCACGUCUUUGUCACAGGUAAAUAUCAAGGAGAACCUUUUUUUUAAAUUAAAAAUUAUUUUGGAAAAUAUUAUUAAAAAAAGUAAGAUGUUUUCAUGUUCUCUGUUUUCUUUUUCUAUUUUUAACUAUUUUACUAAAAUAAUGAAAAUACAACUUUUAAAAAAGGCUAAUAAAACAAACACUUCCCACUGUACUUAGAAAACAAGGAAAAAUUUAAAAUAAAAGGAAUACUUUUGAAAACAAUGGAUAACAAAGUUUAAGAAAAGUUAGGUUAUUUGAGUUAAGAGAAAAAAAAAUCCUAGAAAAAGUUUGUAAAAAAAGAAUUUUAUAGGAUCUUAAUAUAUAUUAUUGGUUUGUGUUAGUAAAUAUGCAUGAUCUUUAUUUAUUUUUUACUUGUUAUUAUUAUUUUGAUUAUAUUUAAUUCUAAAGUUUACUUACACUUAAAUUUAUUAUAAUUUAGUUUAAUUAAAAUAUUUGAAAAUUAAUGAUGGUUUGUCCGCUCUAUUUUGACUCAUUUCAAACUUAGUUAGUAAAAAGUAGGUUGAAUUAGUCCGUCUUACAUAAAAAUUGUAGAUUAGUUUUGGUAGGUCAUUCGCGAUCCAAUCUACAUAAACAAAAUCUUCACAAAAUACCUAUAUGUGAAUGUCUCGAGAAUAAUUUUAUUUUAAUGUUUCAUAUUUUUCUUGCAUUCUAUUCUAUGAAUCUAUCAUUGACAAUAAAAUUUAAUCAAGCUAAAUAAACAUAAAAUUAACAUCUAAUUCAAAUAAAUAUGUCAAUGUUUAAUAUUUCAUGAACAAUAUAACAUAAAAGUAAAUAUUAUUUUCUAAGCUGAAAAACUAUAGUAUUUAAUUAUCAUUGUGUCUUGACUUCAAAAACAUUAUUGUUGUUCUCAAUCCACCUUGUCCUAUUAUUGACAGGUGUGGACUACAAAUUUUGUAGGACAAACGAUCUAAGUAAAUGACAAAAUAAUACUCAAUUCUCUUCACAUUUUUCUUGUGGGCUAGUGGACCAACUUGCAUUGUGAUCUCGUUAAAACAUAUCAUGUUCAUCUUGGAUAUAUAAAUCUUAAACCCUAAACUCUAAACCUCCAUACCUUCCUCUUGCACCUCCAUAUUUUUUUUAAUUCCUACAAUAUUUUUCUGAUUAAGGUUAUGAGGAUUCACAAUUUACUUCAAGUUGCAAUAAGAGUUCACUCCAUAGAACCAUUGCAAGUGCAACAAUAAUUAUUUUUCUUGAUAGAACUUAUGCGAUGUUGCUUGAGGAAAAACUUUAACUACAAAAGACCUAAACCCUCAAGUAAGUGUUGAUUUAUUUUAUGAAGUAAUUAAAAUAUGUCAAAUGAUGGACUCUUCCCUCAAACGUUGCGAUGGAAUAAGAAUGGAAAUUUUGCUGGUGGAAGAGAGAGAUAUGAGGUUUUUAAAAAUGUGGGAUUAUAUUUCAUUUAGAAUUAUUUAAAAUUUUAAAAAAUAUUUAAAUUGACUCUUUUUACAGUUAAUAUGGAGAUGUAGUUAGAAGAUUGGGAGAUAAAGGGAAAAUUUGACUUUUUUAAAGUUUACUUGUACUUAAGUAUAUUUAUAUUUUUGUAAUUUUACAUAAUUCUUUUAUCUUUGAAAUAAAAAAUAAAAAAGGGACUUUUUUUAAAUAAUCCGCCAUUAAUUAUCAUUUUAUGAUUAUUUUGGUACCGGUCGGCAUCAGACGAGUCUGUCUUGGACACAACAACCGGCCCACUAAGUCACAGAACACUCCAAAAUCGCGCAUUGAAUAAGAAUCACCAAUUACAAGAGCAUUUAGUGCGCUGUAACCAUAUUCGGAAUAUGCGGGAACAUCUUUGCGAAAUCAAUCAAAUACUAAUUAACUGAAGGAGGUUAUAAACAUUCCUUAAACAACAUACCUCCCUAUUAAUCAGAGAUCACGAUGUGUCAAUUGAUAACUGAUAUUUAUCCCUCAUGCAAGAAAGUCCAUAACUAGCACUAUAAAUUGAACCCUUUGUUGAGGUGUAAGGUAUGUUUUACAUUCUGCUAGUAUACACCUAAAAUCUUAGCAUUGACUUGAGCGUCAGAGUGUAAUCGCAUAUACCCCUCCGACCGUCUGAGUCCAACAACAAAGGAAGGAAGCUCAAAGUUACACAGAGGAUCGUCAAGAGGCACCAACAUGUCACCAAAUUGUGUUACCUGGGUCCAUUUUCCCCCACAUAGGUACAAUUUUAGUUUAUGAUAAAAGUUAAAAGUAAAUUAUUUUUUAAAUUAAGAAACUAAAAUAUAUUUAAAUCGGAGAGACCGAAUUUUUUUAACGUAAUUUUAUAAAACAAAAGUAUAAGCUUUUAAUGAUUAUUUUACAUUUCAAUUCUUCAAGUUUACUUUUAACAUUUCAGUCUUCCAUUAUCAUCGUGUAUGUGCUCGGUUCUCCUUUAUGCUUCUUUUGGUCGAACAAAAUGAAAUAUAAAAAAAAAAGAAAAAGUGAGAGAAACAUGUAAAUAAUGAGUGAAAAAAUAUUAUUUGAUUGAAGACAAAUUAGUCAAAAAAAAUUAUUUAUUUAUUAAUAUUAUUUUUAUACUUUAAUUAUUAAUUAUUAUUAUUAUUAUAAUUUUUUUUUGUCUAUUUUCUUCAUAUAUUUAUCAUUCAAUCCGUGACAAUCCUCUCCAUUUCAUCACAAAUUUAAAUUAGUUAACAAAGUUCACUCAUCAUCACUUUCUUGGUUUAAAAAUUAUUGAUGGGUAAUCAACUUACAUAGUACAUAAAAUUCAUCAGGAAUGUAAUAAAAUGUUAUAUUAUUAGCGAGUAGGGAUGUGAAAGUGAAACAAACUAUAAGUUGAUUUAAAAUUGGAUAAUCUCACCCUAAUUCACACCGUGACAAGUUUGAAAGUUUCUAACCCAAAUACACUAAAUGUUGGUCAAUUAAAUGGGGCUAUCUAACUAAAAAAUAUUGAAAAAUUUAAAUUGCUAAAAAAAUACAGGAGAUGUGAUGUAAAAGGAACAAGCUCCAGGACCACCUAUCCACGGUGUGAGGGAGAAUGACCCUUGUGUACUGUAGUAACAAUUUUAAAAUUAUAUUAAAUUUAUAUUGAAAGUAUAAAUAUCAAUUUAUAGAAAAAUGCUAAUAUUAUUUAUAUUAUUUAUAAUUAUUAAUUUUUUAUAGAGGUGUAUAAUUUUUAUUUUGUUUUUGUCUAUUCUGAUUCUAGUAUUUAUUGUUUACUAUUUGUUUUUCAUUAUCUCUUUAGUUAGACCUAGAAUGAGUGUACUUCUUGUAUAUAUGCAGAUUAUUUGUUUUGAUUUCAAUAGAAGGGAUAUUCAUUCUCAAAAUUUUUGUCUUUCUUUUUUAUCUUUUGUUAAUCUCUGUUCUAUUUUAUAAUAUGAUAUUAAGUUGUUUAAAGUCUAUCAUAACGAGUGUUUGGUGGACUUAUCAGGUUACCCGUUAUCGGACUACUCAUAAAUAUAUUGCCACUCUCAGUAUAAGAGAGUGUGUUGAAAAUCCCACAUGAGAGAAUAGAUCAUUUGAUAGUAUAUAAGUAAGUGCAAACCUCACCUUAUAUAAGAUUGAGUUAAACUUAAAAUUUAUUAAUUUAAAAAUAAAAAGGAUAAAUAUUUAAUAUCUAAUUUAAUGCUCGUGAUUAUGCUUUUCCACGGAAAGGAUGAUUUGUAUUAGAGGUGCAGUAGUAUAUUAUUAUUAUCAUUAUUAUAUUUUAUUUUUUAUUGUAUUUGUUCUUACUUUGAGUACGUUUCUAAUAUAAAAAAAUAACUAAUGAUGAACAAAUUCAAACAACUCAGAAUUUUUCUUGUUUUUUUAGCGAAUGGGAUUGGAAAUAAUAAUAUUAAAAGUCGCUUUUAUAAUCUUUUAAAAAGGAGCAACUAGAAAUAAAUUUUUUGCAUGCAUCCAGGAUUACAUUAUUCUGUAUAAAGAUAAGAAUUUUCCCUAAAAGUUAACUUUACUUUUCCUUUAUUUUCUUUUCCAAAAGCUGAUGGUUCCUCCAUCUUUCAUAGGGAUUGGUCACAUAAAAUAAAAAUGUCUUUUAAAAAAUAAAAAUAUGUCUUUUAAUAAAUAAAAAUAUUCAAAAAGCAUGCAGUCCCGUAAUCGGAACAAAAACAAAAUUAUUCUCUUGAUUCUUCUCUUUUAUCCAACUUUGUCAUUUUAUUCUUUAAAAAAUCAAUUUACUUAUUUAAAGUGUGUGUAUGGGCACACACAAGUGUAGGAACUUAGCAUUUGUGUGUUGUUUGAUAUUGAAGAAAUGCCCACAAAUAAAGAGAAGUGAUAAGAAGAUUAGUUCUUAAUUUCAUCUUACAAAACUUUUUUUUUUCCAAAAAUAUACUUAUUUAGAAAAAAUGACCCAAACAAAUCUAUUUUACUUUAAUUUCCAAACUAGACUCAUGUAUUCUUGACAUGAGUCAAAUUUUGAAGAGUGAAUAGUACACCACUUUUUCUUUUCCUAUUUUUUCUCAAUUUUCAUUUUUUUUUGUUUGAAAAAACCGGUUUAGAAUUUGGCUUAUUGAGAAUCGGUUUUCAGCAGCACGGGAGUGGAUACAUUGAAAAUUUGGUUGCACUAGAAAAUUGGCUCAAAUUUUAUUUCGGGGAUUUGAAUUGUGUCCUAUUUUUAAUUUAUUUUUGAAAAUUGAGAAACAAGGAGUGAAAGUAUUUCACAUUGAAAUUCCGGUUAUUGGGAAGUCGAAUUCUAAAUGUGAAUAGUAAAUAAAAUAAGUCCAAUUUGAAAAUUAAAGUUGAAAUAUGUUUAUUUGGGUAACUUUUCAAAAUGGGUUUAUUUUGGGAGGAAAGAAUCCCAAAACUAUAUAUGUGUGAACCAAAUAUAUUUAAUUUUAUUGUAAAAUAAUUAUGUAAUUUUUUGCAUAAAUAGUUGGUUUAAUAUAAUAAGUAUUUACAUGUUUUAUUUUUAGUACAGUAAAAGAAAAAUUAUAAUUUUAUUAUAACAACUUUAAUUCUCUUAGAUUUAUUUAAAAUUCGAUAAUAAUUAAUAAUAUAAUUAAGUAAGUUUGGUCUUUAGUAAUUCUCAACCUAUGUUUGUUAAAAGAAAAAUUAAUGUUAAUAGGCAAUUAGGUUUUUUCUUUUGUUUUAUAAAUUUCAAACAAAAUAAAACUAAGAGACUUAAAGUUGUUGUACUUAAAACAUAGUUUUUUUUUUCUUAUUAUAAUAAAAAUAAAAUAUGUUAAUAAUUUUUAGAUUGAAUAAAUUAUUUAUCUUAGUUUUUUUUUUCUAUUUCUUCUUUUCAAUUACAAAAUAUUUUUUUAUUAUUUUCUAUUCCGUAGGUAACAGUCAAAAUUUGUAGAUAAAUCCAUAGAUAAUUUAACAUAUUUUACUUUUAAAUUUUCAAUUAUUAUUUGAAUCUAUUUUUUUUUCAAUUAUUAUUUAUGCUCAUCUUUAGGAUUAUUAUUGACAUUGACAAUUAUUAUAUAUGUUAUUAGUGGGUGGGACUCGAACCAAAGUCCAUUGGAUGACCAAAGAAACUUUAAUCAUUACACUAAAUAAAUUUUGUUAUCAUGUUAUGGUUAUUAUUAUAUUUAUUAGUAUGAUUAUCAAUAUUAAUAUAAUUAUUAAUAUAAAUAUUAUUAAUAUUAUUCAUAUAUUUAAUAUCAUAAAUAAUAAUUGAUAAUUGGAUGACCAGAGAAACUUUAACCAUUACACCAAAUAAAUUUUGUUAUCAUGUUAUGGUUAUUAUUAUAUUUAUUAGUAUGAUUAUCACUAUUAAUAUAAUUAUUAAUAUAAAUAUUAUUCAUAUAUUUAAUAUCAUUUAUAUUAUUAUUCAAAUUAAUAACAUUAUUAAUUAUUAUUAUAAUUUUAUUAUUACUAUUUGUGAAUAUUAGUUGUGAUUUUAUAAUUAUUCAUAUAUAUAAAUAAUUCCUGUUUUUGUUAUUCACGGACACACGGUUCGUAGGUAAGUUACCUACAAAUUGAAGUGGGUGGCUAAUUCUUGUUUUUGUUACCCACAAACAUACUGUUCAUAGGUAAAUUACCUACAAACUGAAGUUGAUGGAUAAUUUCUAUUUCUGCUACCCACAUACACACUGUUCGUAGGUAAAUUACCUACGGACUAAAGUUGGUGGAUAACAGAAACAAGAAUUAUCCAUCAACUUCAGUUCGUAAGAAUAUUAUUAUUAAUAAUAUUAUUCAUGUUAUUAAUAUUAUAAAUUAUUAAUAUUAUUAAUGUUAUAAAUAAUAUGAGUAAUAUUAUUUAUAUUAAUAUUACUAAUAUUAAUUUUAUUCAUAUUAUUAAUAUUAGUUAUGCUUUUAUAAUUAUUCAUAUAUUUAAAUAAUAUUUUUAAUAUUAUAUAUAUAAUUAUUAUUAUGGGAAUAUCCGUAGAUAUCGAUGUUAAAUUUACUAAUAAAUUCAGGUCCGUAGAUAAUGCUGAAUUUACUUACGAAUUCAUAUCCGUAGAAAAAAUCUCAUUUGAACAUGUAACACCCCAUAAUUUACAUAUAACUAUUACAAUAAAAGUUUUACCCGUUUCUAUACAAACUUGGAGUUUUUCAAAACAUUCCUAAUACAUGAUUAGAAUUUAUAGAAAUACAAAUAUUUACAUAUCCAUAACUCAAAAUAAAAACUCUGAAACCUUUAAGGCUCUCCUGCACCUAUAUGGUCAUUUACUCGUGUACAUAGUACAAUCAUCGCAGUUCAAACACAUCAAGAAAAGCAAGGGUAAGCUAAUGAAAAGAAAUUUCAUAUCUUAUAUAUUUUUUGCAAAAAGAACCAAUCAAACAAAUCAUUUAUAAAUAUUUCUUUAAAUGUUGUCAUAUAAAAUUUCAAUAUCAAUUUCAUCAUUCAUAUAGACCACACAUGAAUCUAUCUUCAAUCACAAUCAUUGGAUUUCAUUUCAAUCCCACUUCAUCUUCCGAAAGACUCAUUAAGUAUGCCCCUACCAGAGACUAACACCUGACCCAAAGAUUACCAGCGAAUCCAAUAGAAAGGAUUAGGGUAAGUUCAAACAUCCAAUACCGAGUGUCUACAGUGGGACUCAAUGUGUAUGAACUCCCUCUCGGCUUCUCACCACCUGAUAUCUUAGUCUACAUGACUUAGAUCACCAGUGAAGCCAGAGGAUCUCCGUUAAACAUAGGCUUUUCAUACUUAAUGUACCAUCAAAUAACAACUCAUACAUUAUCCCAAAUGUAUGACAUCAAUUUCAUACAAUUUUCAUCAUACAAUAUCAUUCAAAACGCAAUCCACAAUAUUCAAAAUCUUAUUUAACAGAAAAACAACACUUAAAUACUAAACCAUCAAAAUUUAAUAUUUUUACUAGUUUAAAUAAUAUAUAAACAAACAACACAAUAUAUAAAAACACAACAUCCUUGCAAGAAAAAUUGAAUAUUGGGACCACGUCCCUUCUGCAUUAAGAUCUUCUAUCCUAGGGUGCUAUUACAAAUUAAAUUUAGCUUCCCUUACCUCAAUUGCUUGCUUUCCUAGCAACUUCUAGAAUUUUAUUCCCCACAGUCUAGAUAAGCUUCAAGAUUUACGGGCCUAAAGCAAGUUAUCCAAACAAAAUAAAAAUUCAGUAUAUAGUAGAAUAAGUUGAGAGGAUUAAACUUCUCAACUGACCCCACCAAGAUUGAUGACUAAAUCUUAAGGAAAAACUGAGAACAAAGGAUAUUUAGAGUAAAAAUGAACUUACUCUGUUUAAAAAUCUGAUCGGGUAGAAAUGUUCCUUAACUCGCCAGCUACAACGUGGUCCGAUCAAAUUGAAAAAUAGAUGAAGAUUAGGAGAGAAAAUUAAGAGAGAAUGAAGAGAAGAGAAUAUGGAAAGAGAGAGAGAAAGAAAAAGAAGUUUCGUGUGUGAGGGGGGCAUGGGGUUUGGCUUUUGCUUCUUUAUCUUCUUUUAUUUUUACGCUGUUACAAAACUCAGUUAAUCAUGAUUAUCUGAGUUUUGUAAAUAAAUAAUAAGUUAAUAUGUAAUUAAGAUUGAACAAAGUUUUUUUAAUGAUGAUUUGCAUCUAGUUUCUCUUUAUACUUCUGUAAACUUUUGUAGGGUUUUCAUUUCAUCUUGCAGAACAAUUUGAUCUCCUACAAUAUCUAAAAGACUUUGAAUUAUUCUUCUCACAUUAAUGUGGUUUUUUUUUAAAGGUUGAUACUUGUUUAGUGAAUAGAGUCAAAAGAUUUUCGUUCAAAAACUUUGUAGAAGAAAUUUAAAUAAAAUCCAAUAGAGUUCAGAUAUGACAACUUACAUAAUAUAGAAGUUAAUUACAAAACAAAAAAAAAAACUAAAUCUCAUAUCCUAAUAUAGUCAUUAUGUAGUACUUUCAUAAGAGCAACACAUAUGAAAAUAUCACUUUCAAAUUUAGGAAAAAUAAUGGAAUUAAAAAAGGAUGAAAUUGAAGACAUAAUUUUAAGAGAUAAAAUGAGUUAAUUUCCAAUAAAUCACAAUUUUAAAAUUUUAUUUAUGAGACAAAUUCUAAAUUUGUUGUGUGAAAAAAAUAAUGUUAUAAACGAGAUUUCAAAGGAAAAACAAGAGCAUCAAGUUACAUAAUCGAAUAACAUUCUUAGAUCUAGAUUUCUUUUUCUUUCGUUUUUCUUAUGGAAGACUAAACAUUAUGGGUUGAUUCUAUUGUGAUUUUUCAUUGAAUUUAAAGGUUUUGUUAAAUGAAAUUUUGUUUUUUAAUUUUUUGUAACAGUUUAUUUUAAUCAUUUGAUAUUUUGAAUUUGAAUGCCUAUCAAAGAAAUUGUCUUUGAAUAUUUAUUGAAAAUUAAUUUAAAAUUUAAUUACUAUUAUUAUUACUAUUUUUAUUUGUAAAGAUAAUUAACAAUUGUUAUUAGUUAUUCCUAACUAUUUCCUCAUGGUUUUCUUGUAUUAAUUUUUUAUUGUAUUACAGUUAAUGAAGAUGAAUAUUCCUUGUCUGAUGUGGUGCAUCAAAUGGAGUGCACGUAAUCACACGAAAUCGCAAUAGAGAAAGGGAGGUGCUGAUGAACCCUAAUUGCAAAUGAAAAAGAGACAAUGACUUAAGCAUGAAAGAGAGAAAAGAAGAGAAAAGAAAAUACAAAAGAAAUUCUUAUUUACUUGUGUAUUAGAGAGUAAAAUACAUUGUGUAUAUAUAAGAAAAAGACUAAGACCUAGCUGAAACAAAAAGAAAGUUGGGCCAAACAAACAAAGCCCAAUAACUUAAAACAGAAAAACUAAAUAUGUUAACAUCCCCCUCAAGCUGGGGAGUAGAUAUUUGUCAGGCCUAGCUUGGAUUUGAGAGUAGAGAACUGUGCGGAAGCAAGAGGCUUGGUGAAUAUGUCAGCAACUUGCAUGGCAAAAGUAAUGGACAACAGUUUGAGGAGACCAAAGUUAAGUUUUUCACGAACUAGGUGACAAUCAAUUUCGAUGUGCUUGGUGCGUUCAUGAAAGACUUGAUUGGACACUAUUUGAAGGGCAGAUUUGUUGUCAUAGUACAGGGUUGCAGACUGGGAGAGAGGAAGAUGUAAAUCCUGAAGGAGGUAAGACAACCAUUGUAGCUCACAUGUGAUGGUGACAAGGGCUCUAUACUCGGCUUCAGAGGAGUUGGGGGAGAUAGUUGGCUGCUUCUUUGAUUUCCAUGAUAUUAGGGAGUCUCCUAAAAAGAUGGAAUAUCAAGUGACAGAUUUGCGUGUGGUAGGACAUGUUGCCAGGUGAAGUGAGCUAGUAUGAGAAAAAUAUAGUCCUUCACCAAGGGUGCCCUUAAGGUAACGCAAAAGACAUGAGACAACUUGUUGAUGAUGAGUUGUGGGUGCAGAUAUGAAUUGGCUUAAAUUGUGGACAGCAAAGGCGAUGUCAGGUCGCGUGUUGGUUAAGUAGAUUAGACGUCCAAGGAGUCUUCUGUAUUGAGAAGUUGCAUCAGCAUCAAGAGGAGAGCCUUGAUCGAGAGAGAGACAGGAGGUAUGAGUCAUAGGAGUGGCCACAGGUGCAGAGUCAAGCAUGCCAGUUUCGUGAAGAAGAUCAAGAGUAUACUUGCGUUGACUUAAAUGAAGACCGGAACUGUUGCAAGCAAUUUCCAGUCCCAAAAAGUAAGUGAGAUUACCUAAAUUUUUUAUCUUGAAGUGAUGGUGAAGAGAUGCAGUAAUUGUAUUGAUUUCCUCCGUGUUAUCGCCAGUUAAGACCAAAUCAUCAACAUAAACAAGAAUAUCAGUGAGUUUAUCGUUAUUAUAUUUAAGAAAAGGAGAGUGAUCAACAACAUAAAUAGAGUAAUUAUUUGAUAAAAGAAAAGUAGAAAGUUUGGCGUACCAUUGGCGACCAGCUUGACAAAGGCCAUACAAAGACCGUUGAAGCUUGCAAACAUGCUGGGGAGAAGGAAGAGAGAGGCCAGGUGGGGGGGUCAUGUAUACCUCUUCAUGGAGAUCACCAUGAAGAAAUGCAUUAUUGACAUCAAGUUGUUUUAAAAUCCAAUUUUUGGAAGUGGUUAACAAGGAAAAGGCGGAGGGUAGUGAUUUUAGCAACAAGUGCAAAAGUGUCUAAGAAAUCAAGUCCUUCAAGUUGGGUGAACACUUUGGCAACAACUCUAGCUUUGUGGCGCUCAACAGUGCCAUCAUAAUGGUAUUUGAUUUUAUAUACCCAUUUACAACCAAUAGUUUUCUUUCCUGAAGGGAGAGAGGUAAGUUGCCAAGUAUUGUUAGCAGCAAGAGUUUGAAGCUCAUCUUGCAUGGCAGAUUGUCAAGAAGCAUGUUUAGAGGCUUCGUUAUAUGUCUGAGGUUCAGGAUGAGAAUUGAUAGAGGAAAUAACAUUUCUAAAAUUGGAAGAUAAGGAAUUGUAAGACAAGUAAUUAUGAAUAAGAUAUCUACUACUUACAGUGUUGGUUGCAGUGUGGAAAUNNNNNNNNNNNNNNNNNNNNNNNNNNNNNNNNNNNNNNNNNNNNNNNNNNNNNNNNNNNNNNNNNNNNNNNNNNNNNNNNNNNNNNNNNNNNNNNNNNNNUGAGGUGCUUCCUGGAGAUGCAGGUGGUGAUAAUUCUGGUUGAGGUGCAAUGUUGGAUGCAGGAGCAGAGGCACUAUUUAUAGGAAGAUCAGAGGAUAAUAAGGUUGGUGGAGGGACAGUAUUGGGUGCAGGAGUAGAGGCACAUGGCUCGACAGGAGGUGCAAUAAUACAAGAAAAAAAAAUCAAAAAACAGAAUUAUAUGCGUUAGAAAUAGGGAGAGAUAAAGUGUUAGGGUCCUUAGGCAAGCCACUGUCCAAUUUAUAUGGAAAGUGGUUUUACAUAAAAGAUUACAUGUCUUGAUAUCUUUAUGCUUAAUUAGAAAACUUUAAAUUUAAGUAUUAAUAUUAACCUUUUUAUUUUGUGGGGUAGGUUGUGGGAGGCCAGGUGGGGGGGUCAUGUAUACCUCUUCAUGGAGAUCACCAUGAAGAAAUGCAUUAUUGACAUCAAGUUGUUUUAAAAUCCAAUUUUUGGAAGUGGUUAACAAGGAAAAGGCGGAGGGUAGUGAUUUUAGCAACAAGUGCAAAAGUGUCUAAGAAAUCAAGUCCUUCAAGUUGGGUGAACACUUUGGCAACAACUCUAGCUUUGUGGCGCUCAACACUGCCAUCAUAAUGGUAUUUGAUUUUAUAUACCCAUUUACAACCAAUAGUUUUCUUUCCUGAAGGGAGAGAGGUAAGUUGCCAAGUAUUGUUAGCAGCAAGAGUUUGAAGCUCAUCUUGCAUGGCAGAUUGUCAAGAAGCAUGUUUAGAGGCUUCGUUAUAUGUCUGAGGUUCAGGAUGAGAAUUGAUAGAGGAAAUAACAUUUCUAAAAUUGGAAGAUAAGGAAUUGUAAGACAAGUAAUUAUGAAUAGGAUAUCUACUACUUACAGUGUUGGUUGCAGUGUGGAAAUCCGCAANNNNNNNNNNNNNNNNNNNNNNNNNNNNNNNNNNNNNNNNNNNNNNNNNNNNNNNNNNNNNNNNNNNNNNNNNNNNNNNNNNNNNNNNNNNNNNNNNNNNNNNNNNNNNNNNNNNNNNNNNNNNNNNNNNNNNNNNNNNNNNNNNNNNNNNNNNNNNNNNNNNNNNNNNNNNNNNNNNNNNNNNNNNNNNNNNNNNNNNNNNNNNNNNNNNNNNNNNNNNNNNNNNNNNNNNNNNNNNNNNNNNNNNNNNNNNNNNNNNNNNNNNNNNNNNNNNNNNNNNNNNNNNNNNNNNNNNGUCCAAUUUAUAUGGAAAAUGGUUUUCAUAAAAGAUUACAUGUCUUGAUAUCUUUAUGCUAUGAAACUUUAAAUUUAAGAUAAUAUAACCUUUUGUAUUUUGCGGGAAGCCAAGAAAAAUACCUUUGAUAGAUCUAUCAUCUAAUUUUUUCCUAUGUGCAGUAAUGGUACUAGCAUAACAGAGACAACCAAACACUUUUAGAAAGGAAAUGUUAUAUGGUUUUCCAAACAACUUUUCAUGAGGAGUGAUGUUAUUAAGUAAUGGAGUAGGAAUAACAUUUAUUAAGAAAACAACAUGAUUUACAACAAAUUCCCAAAAAUAGGAGGAAGAUUUGCUUGAAAAAGCAAAGCCCGGGUUACAUUUAGUAUGUGUUGAUGUUUACGUUCUACAAUGCUAUUUUGUUGUGGUGUUUCAACACAAGAUUUUUUAUGUAUAAUUCUCUUUGAAGCAUAAAAAUUUGACAUAGCAAACUCAACACCAUUGUCAGUACGAAUUGUUUUGAUAUUAGUUUUGAAAUGAUUUUGAACNNNNNNNNNNNNNNNNNNNNNNNNNNNNNNNNNNNNNNNNNNNNNNNNNNNNNNNNNNNNNNNNNNNNNNNNNNNNNNNNNNNNNNNNNNNNNNNNNNNNNNNNNNNNNNNNNNNNNNNNNNNNNNNNNNNNNNNNNNNNNNNNNNNNNNNNNNNNNNNNNNNNNNNNNNNNNNNNNNNNNNNNNNNNNNNNNNNNNNNNNNNNNNNNNNNNNNNNNNNNNNNNNNNNNNNNNNNNNNNNNNNNNNNNNNNNNNNNNNNNNNNNNNNNNNNNNNNNNNNNNNNNNNNNNNNNNNNNNNNNNNNNNNNNNNNNNNNNNNNNNNNNNNNNNNNNNNNNNNNNNNNNNNNNNNNNNNNNNNNNNNNNNNNNNNNNNNNNNNNNNNNNNNNNNNNNNNNNNNNNNNNNNNNNNNNNNNNNNNNNNNNNNNNNNNNNNUAAAAGGAGCAAAACAAUGCGAUUUAGAACGGCUAGAAGAAGGCAAGGUAGUGACAAGGUACAAGUCAGCGAUGACUUUAACUAUACCAAUCCUCUCUUGAGUGAGAUUGUCCUGUAUAAUGUAGUGGGUUGAAGUGAAAGUUAAAGUGCAUUUAAGUUGGUGUGUGAGUUUAGAAACAAAUAUUAAGUUUAAUUGAAAAUGAGGCACAUAUAACACAUCAGACAAAUAAAACUUAUCAAAAAAACGUACUAAGCCAUAAUAUGUGGCAUAAACAGUUUGGCCAUUUGGAAGACUAAUUAAGACAAGUUUAAUUUUAGUAUAAGUAGUAAAACCGUUCAAAUAGUGACAAAUAUGAUCUGUGGCACCAGAAUCAAUAAUUCAAGAUUCUUUUAUAGAAGAUAGAUAGUGAAGAGAGAAACUUACUUGUUGAAGAAUGCUCAGUAUUGGGGAUUUCAUCUGCAGAGAAGGUGCCGACUUGAUUAAUUUGAGUGUGAGGAGCAGGAUCCUCAAGGUUUUGCUGACGCAAAAUGUUGGUAAGGAAUUGACACUGCUGUGAUGUAAGUUGAAUCCCCUUUACAUCCUGUUCUUUAGGAAAAAGCUCAGAAAAAGUGUCAGUAGUAAUCAUAUUAUUGGCUUGGGAUGUCCAAUUGGUGAAUUUGUAGCCAAGAGGGAACCCGUGUUUUUUAUAACAGGUGUCGACAGUGUGGCCAAGACUAUUACAAAAAGUGCAGACUUUUCUAGUAAAAGAAAAUUUUGAGGUUUUAACAUUACUAGAAGGAAAACCCACUUUGCGAAAACAAACAACCUCAGUAUGACCAUAUUUACCACAAAAAUUGCAUGUAAUAGUCUGACUACUAUUAAGACUAGGGUUUUCAUUAAACAUUGGCUAAGAGAUUUUUAAACCCAAUCAAGAUUUUGAAAGAGAACAUAAAAGAUAACCAAGAACAACAAAGGGGGAAAUAAAGAUCAGAGAGAAGCGCAGCAAAGCUCUUCAUUCGAAGAGCUCUGAUACCAUAUUACAGUUAAUGAAGAUGUAUAUUCCUUGUCUGAUGUGGUGCAUCAAAUGGAGCGCACGUAAUCACACGAAAUCGCAAUAGAGAAAGGGAGGUGCUGAUGAAUCCUAAUUGCAAAUGAAAAAGAGACAAUGACUUAAGAAUAAAAGAGAGAAAAAAAGAGAAAAGAAAAUACAAAAGAAAUUCUUAUUUACUUGUGUAUUAGAGAGUAAAAUACAUUGUGUAUAUAUAAGAAAAAGACUAAGACCUAGCUGAAACAGAAAAACAAAGUUGGGCCAAACAAACAAAGUCCAAUAACUUAAAACAGAAAAACUAAAUAUGUUAACAUAUUGAGUUAUGUUUCUAUCUAGGGUGGACAAAAUAUCUAGUUUCUAAAACUGCUUCACUUUUGCAAUACUCUAAUCUAUUAAAAAUCCAUUUAUUUAAAUCUAAUUUUUAGUAUGAUCCAUAUUUUAUUAUAUUUUUCAUAUCAAAUUUAUAUUUUGUUUAUACAGAUUUUAAAAAAUGGAUACUCCAAAUAUUUAGAAGUAGUCUAUCUCGAGUACCUCUACCAAAACCAUCUUUUUAUACUUUCUCUCAUUUGCAGUUUCCUCUUUUUCUCCUCUCUUCAACACCUCUUAUUUACUUUUGAGAAUUUUAUUUGCUCCAAUAACUUAUACAUUUUUUUUGGUCGGCAAUAAUAAAUUAAUAAAUGCGAGCCACUUCAGGGGUGGUUCAACCCUUAUACAAAAGAAACAAGAGAUACCAAACCAAUUACUAGCUAAAAUCUCCAAACUAACAAACACAAGCACUAACCGGACAUAGACUUAAACUACAUCAAGCAACCAUUCUCAUACAUUCCAAAGGUACCAUACACCAACUAGAAAAGGGAAACGAAGCGGAUCGAGAUCUAACAUUAAUCCAAGACCAAACCUUUGCUUGCACCCGUGCACACACUUCAGACGCAUCAGUCACUCCCCUGUUGAAGAUAAUAAAAUUCUUGUGGAUCCAAAUUUCACCCACCACCCCAACCCAGAUCGUGCGCCACACUUCAUUAACCGACUCUGAAGACUGGCACAUCCUAAAUUGUGCAAAGUUUAACACUAGAUCAACAUGGGACACAAACGUCACCCCCAACCACUCAAGGCAAAGGCACCAAACCCGCCAAGCAAAUCUGCAAUCGAAAAACAAAUGGCGAUAAGACUAUUCCUCCUUCCCAAACAAACAACACAAAGGGCUACCAAACAACACACCUCGCCUUUCCAAAUUGGCCCUAAUAGCGAUCUUAUUCUCCAACACCCUUCAGGCAGUGACUAAAGCAGAAGGUACGACUUUACAGCUCCAUAACUUACUGUAAGUCGGAGAGAAAACCACCUUACCAUCCCUCCUAAGAAGAGAAUAAGAAAAACUAACUGAAAACGUCUGAAGACCCCCUGCCUUCCAAACCCACCUAUCCGCUUCUCCUAGGACCAACCUAACCUCAAGUAAAGCCUGAUAUAACUGAUCCACCAAAGGUUUCUCCCAUUCAAACAAAGAUUUACGCCAUGCUAAAUGCCAAACCCACACACCAUUAGACCAAGACCCAAUCUCAGCCACCUUUGCAUCUUUGGUCGAACACAGGGAGAACAGACUCGGAAAUACUCUCUUCAGCGCAUUUUGACCUAGCCAUCAGUCCUCCCAAAAAAGAACAUCCUUUCCAUCACCAACUUUCCAACUAAUCUCGUCUUCAAAACUACUACCCCACCCCUCCGAAACCCACACCUUUUUUAAGUCUUUCCACCAAAUAGAGCACCUACUACUUUUCUCUUCCUCUCUCAAACUUCUCCAACCACCAUAUUUGGAGACAAGAAUCUCCUUCUAAAGACCAUCCUUAUUCGAACCCAACCUCCAUAUCCACUUGCCUAACAAAGCCACAUUAAAAGUCUUUAGAUCAAUGAUACCAAAGCCCCCAAGUUCGCGAGGUUUACAAACCUUUUCCCAGGAGGCCCAAGCGAUCUUCCUUCCUUCAGAUCCCCAACCCCAAAGAAAAUCCCUUUGAAUCCUGACCAACUUGUCUGCCACCCUAGAAGGCAAUUUAAAUAGUGACAUAAAGAAUAACGGGAUGGAAGAAAGAACAGACUUGAUCAAACACACUCUCCCUGCCAACGACAAGCACUUACCUUUCCACCUGAUAAGCCUAGUCUUAACCUUCUCAAUCACCCCAUUCCAAAAGUCACCGUGCUUAUGACUCCCACCAACAGGCAAACCCAAGUAAACAAAAGGAGAACCCAUUACAUCACACUUAAGGAUAUCUGCAAAACUUCGAAGCGAGCCAUGACUCAACCCCGUUCCGCCAAUCCUACUUUUCACAAAAUUAACCCUAAGCCCAGAGGUAAGUUCAAAGCAUUGCAAAAUCGCCUUAAUAUUGAAAAUGCUUUUGGUGUUAGCUUCACAGUAAAACAAAGUAUCGUCAGCGUACUGUAACAUAUUAACCUUCAUUCUAUCCCUGCCAACCUCCAAACUGUCAAUCAAAUUCUUUUCUUCAGCCAUCCUUGAUACGCCAACCAACCCUUCUGCCACAAUAAGAAAGAAAAACGGAGUUAGUGAAUCACCUUGAUGGAGACCCUUCAUUGGAAAAAAAACUCCUUAGUUGGGCAUCCAUUCACAAGGACUGAAACAGACGCGGAUUCUAAACAACCUUUAAUCCAACGAAUCCACAGGUCACAAAAGCCCAACCUCCAAAGCAUAUAAUAAAGAAACUACAUAAUAAAUAGAUCUAAUAUUUUCAAAGUUUAAUUAAAGUAUUAUAGGUAGGUGUAUUUUAAUGUUAAAAAUUUAUAUAUUAUGUUAUCUUUAAUUUUUUUAUAUUAUUAAAUUAUAAUUUUAUUAUAUUUUCUUAAUAUUUAUAUAAUAUUCAACUUUUUUUACAUAUUAUUAUAUUAAUAUUAUGUUAAUUUUUUAGAAAACAUGGAUUAUUUUUUUUAUAAAAAUAUGAAUUUUGAUUUAAAAUCCAAUCUAAAUAUUUGGAUUUGAAUUUUCAUAAAAAAAAUAUGAAUUUAGAUUAUAAAUUUGAUCCAAAUAUUUGGAUUUGAAUUGGAUUUAAUUGAUGAACACCCUUACUCCUAUCUUAUCUUAUGCUUUCUAUAAUAGUAAAUACUGUAAUUAUCAUAAAAAAAGUUGAGUACGAAAAUAUAUUUUUAUACUGAUUUUAAAUAUUGUACGAAAGUUUCUAAUAGUAAAUUGAACUUACUAUAACAAUUUUUUACUGAUAUAAAAAAUUAAACUUUAUAUAUAUAUAUUCUUUAUCGAAUGCGUUACAUAAAUAUAUUUAUCGUUAAGUAUGGUUGAUAACAUACACUUGUUUCUUUCUAUUGUCUUGUAAAUACAUUUCCAUACAUAAUGAAAAUAUGUUUUUUUUUCUAGUUUGGGGAAGGCACCUUUUUUAAAAGACAACAAAAAAUGUUUUGUGUAUGUAUUUUAGAAACAUGAUUCUCUCAAGAAUAAUUUGGAAAAAAUAAUGGAAAUUAUGAGGUAAAAUAGAAAAAAUCAGGUGGUAAUAAUAGAGCCCAACUAAGCUCAGUACCAGCCAAUAAUACAAAUCUUGGAUUGGGCCUUCAAAGUAUAGACUGUUCUGCACCUCUAAAUUCUUGCCACACCUCAUACUAAAUACGAGAAUAUAUUUUCUUUUAGUACAAAAAAAUUAACCUUUAAAACUCCACGCACCUUUUUCACUUCUUUUUAUCUCACCCUGACAAUCCUGGUGACCUACAUUAUAUCUUGCAUUGGUUUGCCAAUGUUUUGAUUGUCCUUUAUUUUUUUUUUAAUUUUACAAAUAUUUUGAAUUAAUUCAAAAAAUAUUUUUAGAUUUGAAAGUGUUUUUCGAAUUUAUAAAAUCUAUAAAAAUUUUAAAAUAAAUAAAUAUUAUAAAUUACAUAAUUCAAAAGUUAAUUUCAAAUUUAAAAAUAAUUUCUAAAUUAUGUAAUAAAAAAUAUAUUUUAAAAAAAAUAUUCAGAUUACAUAAUCCAAAAUUCAGAAAUUUUUUUAGAUUUAAGAUUAGUUUAUGGAUAUGUAAUCUAAACAUAUUUUGGAUUACAUAAUCUAAAAAUUAAUUUAUACUAAAAAAACUUCUGAAUUAAUUCAGAAGCUAAUCUACAAUCUAAAAGAAAAUUCAAAUUAUAUAAUUCAAAAAUUAAUUAUAAUUUAAAAAAAAUUUAAAUUAUAUAAUUCAAAAUAUAAACUACACCACAUCGUAAAUUUCAUAUAUUUUAACUUUACCAUAAAAAAAAGACGUUUUUAAAAUAUACAAACCAAUGGAGGUGCCAAGCAAAACUGCAAAAAUCACAUUGAAUAUAGCCUUGUUAAAAUACUUGAAUUUUUUUUAUAGCCUAUAUUAAAUAUACAAAGAAUCGUUAAACAGCUUUUUACAUUCUUGACUUAUAUUAUUAUCACGUGAAUACGUUUAUCUAUGAUAUACGAUAUACGAUAAUAUACAAAAAUAAAAAAUCUAUAUUUAACAUGUUAUAUUGUACAUAUCAUAACUUUUUAUCAUAUAAAAUAAAUAAAUAAAUAUAUUUUUAGUUUCUAUUGUAACACCCCAUAAUUUACAUAUAAUUAUUACAAUAAAAGUUCUACCAGUUUCUAUACAAACUUGAAGUUUUUCAAAACAUUCCUAAUACAUUAUUAGGAUUUAUAGAAAUACAAAUAUUUACAUAUCCACAAUUCAAAACAAAACUCUGAAACUUCUAAGGCUCUUAUGCACCUGUAUGGUCAUCUGCUCGUGUCCAUAGUACAGUCAUCGUAGUUCAAACACAACAAAAAAAAGCAAGGGUAAGCUACUGAAAAUAGAAUUUUAUAAUAUACACACUUGAAUCCAAAGAGAAAACCAAAUUACAUUAUCAAUUUAUCAAAUUAUUCAAUUUUCUUCAAAUCUCAACAAUAAAACAAUCACAUAGAUCUCACAUGGAUCUACACAUCCAGAAUAUUCAAUAAACAACGUCUUCCGGAAUACCCAUAUUAAGUAAGUCCUACCAGAGACUAACACCUGAUCCAAAGAUUACCAGCGAAUCCAACAGAAAGGAUCAGGGUAAGUUCAAUACAACCCAAGUCGUGCAUCUCAUAUGUCACGGUGUGCAUGAACUCCCCCAUCAGCUUCUCACCACCUGAUAUCUUAGUCUAUGUGACUUAGAUCAUCAGUGAAGCUCGGAGAUCUCUGUUACCACAUAAUCUUCUAUCCUAGGGUGCUACUAAAAAUUAAAUUUAGUUUCUCUUACCUUAAUUGUUUGCUUUCCAAACAACUUCUAGAAUUUUAUUUCCCACCGUCUGGAUAAGCUUCAAGAUUUACGGGCCUAAUGCAAGUUAUCCAAACAGAACAAAAAUUCAGUAUAUAAUAGAAUAAGUUGAGAUGAUUAAACUUCUCAACUUAUCCUACAAAAAUUGAUGACUAAAUCCUAAGGAAAACAGAGAACAAAGGAUAUUUAGAGUAAAAAUGAACUUACUCUGUUUGAAAAUCUGAUCGAGUAGAAAUGUUCCUUAACUCCUCUGGUACAGCGUGGUAUGAUCAGAUUCUAAAAUAGAUAAGGUAUGGAGUGAGAAAUUAAGAGAGAAAGUAGAAGGGAGAGAUGGAGGGAGAAAAAAGAAAGAAGAAGAAUGGUGCGUGCAGCAGGGUGGGUUUCUGUUUCUAAAAAAAAGCAUUGUUACACCUAUUAAUUUUAGUUUUGAUAGACAGGUUAUUAUCUAGUUUUGUUGAUUUUUCUUGAGACAUGUUAGGGGUGAAAGUAUAUGAUUUAGAACUAACAUGAACCAAACUUGGAUUUGGAGUUUGGCAACUAUGGUAGAGAAUUCAGGAGUUGGGGUUGGAACAUGUUCCACAUUAAUUAGUGCCCACUUUGCUUUUUUGGAUUCAAAAAUGGGAGAUGGUGAAGUUUCUACGUCAAAAUUUAUAAAAUCCAAAUAUUAACAUUAAUUAUUCAUAUAUUGCAUAACUAUUAAAGAAUAUUAUUAUAAUAAUCAGAGGAAAUUAUAUUAUACUCGUAUCGUCUAUUUUUUUUUUAUCUAUAUCUAAAAGUCUCAUUCCUUUAUUUUGUUAGGGAACUUUCGAAAAAAGAGUAAAGUUGUCACAUGAGGUGGAUAUGCAUUUUUCAUACAUAAAAUGAAUGCUUAAUAUAUACAUUUGUAUACAAAUAGUUAUCUAUAGACAACUCAUUCAGAUUAUGAUAAAGAUGCGUUUGUUCAGUGCAAACAGAUAAACAUGUUAUUGUAUUUUAAUCUAAUUAUAAGAAUGAAAAGGAUAUUAACACAUGCAUGCCAACUUCACAUGAUAAAUAAGAAAAUUAAAUUAUAUUUAAAACUACAUAUAUUUAUUAAAAAUUCAUUUUAUACUAUUAAUAAAUGUAAUCACAUAGCAAAAUAAAAUAAUGCUAGUUAUAAUAAUAUUCUUUUCCACUAUAAAUUUAUAUUACAUAUAAAAUAAAGAUGAUUCCUCUUUUCUCAUUUUAUUAUUUUAUUUUAUAAAUUUCAAAAUCACAAAAAAAAAUAUUUCAUCAUUCUAUAUAAAUUAUUAAAAAUAAAAUAAUUUUUUAUUUUUUCAAUUAAUAUUACUAAGCAAUUUUUAUAUGCAAACGGUCAACAUUCAUUCUUUCCUUAAUCUACCAGUCUAUCUUUAAUUUCUUAUUUUAUGGAAGAUGUUUGUUUAAAAAAAAAACAGAAAGAAAGAGAACACACCCUCAUCCUUAUUUCUAUCUCUUUUGCUAUGCUUUUUUUUUAAUUUCAGUUAGAUACUAGUGAUAAUAAAUAUUAUUAUUAAAAGAAUUGAUUAUUUUCAACAAAUAAGUGUGUUUAAUGUUAAUAAAUAGGAUUAUUAAAAGAAUUAGUUAUUUUCAUGUAUUUAAAAAUAAAAACAAAAUUAUUAUAAUUAUAAAAUUAACUAAAUCAAAAAGAACAACUUACGCAAAUAUUAAACUAAUAGAAGUGUAUUUUUGAUAGUAAAGCUUUAUCUCCAUUAGUAAAAUUGUGGUGGAUUCAUAAGGAAAAGAAGCUCAAAAAAUGACAUACGUAAGCACUGCUCAAUUGGUGGUACUUUGAAUGGCCACGUUACAUCACAGGAACGAUUUUCGUCAUUAUCCUCCGAAUGUCAUAUUAGAAUUUUUAAAAAGAAUUUAAGAAAUAAAUUUGCCAUAUAAUUUUCUGUAAAUUUUAUAAAAUUCCCUAAAAUAUUUACAGAAAAAAUGUCAUUAAUCAUAAAAAAAAUUCUAAAAUAAAAACAGGAUCUCCAACAUACCCCGAGACUACCAACUCUUGCGUGGGACUAUAUAUUAUGGGUGGUCCAUAGCGGCCCGAUAGUUGGUGGCCUGAUAAGCCCAACAAAUACUCGCUAGGAUAGGCUCAAAAUAGCUCUGGUACCAUAUUACGAAGUGAAUUUUAAGUCUAACUCAACCCUAUAAAACUGGCUCAUAAGGUUGAGGUUUGCACCCACUUAUAUACAAUGAAAGACUCUAAUCUCUAAUCGAUGUGGGAUCUCCAACAGUUUCAUCACUGUAAAAGGAAGAAGAAAAAUAUUCAUGUUGGGUGUUCAUUUCAUCACCUAAAUCAUGAAUAUCCAGGAAAAAACUCAUUGCCUGAACAGUCAUAAGAAUAAGUAAAAUAAUAAUAAAUAACUAAAAAUAAUUAAACAAUAUUUUCAGAUGUGUAAUUUUAUUGCGAAUAAAUUAUGUUAACAUUAUUCUGUUUUAGUAUAUUUAAAAUUAUAAUCAAAUUUUAAUUAAGAUUCUAUAAAAACUUAUUUAUUUUAUUAAUGUUUAAAAUUAUUAUUUAUUUUAAUAAUAAAAAGAUAAAAUUAUAUCAAAUUAGUAAAAAUCUGAGUCAUAAUUUGACAGUGUCAAAACAUGUUUUUAUUUGCGAUGACAAAGCGGGGCGGACCGUGCGGGUUGGUCCGCGGCCCGCUGGUAAAAAACGCGGGGCGGGCUGAACUUUUCAACCCGCAUUAGCCCGUCCCGCAUUAGUCCGCGGCCUGCGCGGGCCAGCAGCGGGGCGGGGCGGGCUGGCCCGCUAACCCGCAAGAAAAAAAAUGGAUGAAAGUUUUCUAAGGUGACAUCCAAUGUUAUUAAAAUGGAAGAAAGUCAAUAAUGUUUAUGUUUAAUGUUUUUGAAUUAAUGUUUAUGUUUAUGUUUAAUGUUUUGAAAUUAGGCAUUUUUAAUGUUUUGGAAGUGGAAGAAUAGUGAUAUUUGAUAUUUAUCUUAAUAUUUAAUGUUUUGAUGUUUGACUAUGUUUGAAAAGGAAGAAAAAUUAAUUUAAGUUUGAUACUAACAAAUAUAUAAGUUUAAUUUGACAAUAUUUUAAAAACAAAAUGUAAAAAUAAAAUUAAAAAUUAAAAAAAAGAACGCGAGUUAACCCUCAAAUCUGCGAACCAGCUCUUAUGCGGGGCGGGUCGAGAAUUCUAACCCAUAAUAAAUUUAUGGAGCGGACCAACCCAACCCACAUUUUUGCGGGCUAAGCACGGACGGACCAAUGGCCCGCUUUGCCACCCGUAGUAUGGUGUUUCUAAUCUUCUAAAAGCAAAUGAUGUUGUUCUAUUAUAAAUUUAUACUAUCUUUUCUAAGGUUCCUUUCUAAAUUUUUGUAGUUCAAACAAAAAAAUAUUUUAAAUUAUAAAUUGAUGAAUGAAUAAAAUUUAAAUUUAUGAAAGUAAAUAUAAAUUUAAUUUAAUUAAUACUUAUUAUAUCAACUUAUUUAAAUAAAAUAACUUGGUACAAUAAAAAACCAAUACAACUUUUAAAAAUUAAAUAAAGUACUAAACAUUUAAUAAAAAUGUAAUUACUUUUAAAAAAAUAUAUAAAAUAUAAUUACAUAAUAAUACAUUUUUAUAAAAAAAUAUAAAUUUUAUUUAUAUUAUAAUACUUUUAUAGUUAUAUUCUUUUGUAUCCUUUUAUAUUCAUCAAUUAGUUUAUCAAAUAUUUAUAAUUCAAUAAAGUAGUUUAUUAUUAGCUAUUAAUUAAUUUCUCUUGUAAAUGGUUUAAUGAAUUUAGUGAAAUCUUAAAUAGAUUGACCACAGAUGGAAAGUAAAUCAUGGUUGUGAAUAAAUUAACAUAAAAUUGGCUAUUUUUUUUCAAUUAUACCAAUUUUUUACAUUUUUUUUAGCAAAGUAUCACAAAGCAUAAUACGUUCAUAAUGUGUUGAUUUGAUGGUGAUUUUGAUGAUGUUUGAAUUUCUUGUUAAUGAUUCCAUUACUCAUUAUCUUAACAUGAUUAAAAAUAUAAAACAUGAAUUAAUAUCUAAGAUAAUAUUAAACACAAUUGCAUUUAGAAACUUGUAUUAUACUUUUUCUUAACAUAAUAAUUGAUUAUGUUAGGAAAUAAUCAAUUGUGUAAUUGUUCAUUUUAGGAAAUAAUCAAUUACGUGAUUGACCAUGUUAAGAAAUAAUUAAUUAUGUAAUUGAUUAUGUUAGGGAUGAAUUAAUUAUCUAAUUGAUUAUGUGUGAGAUUAAUCAAUUAUGUAUUGAUUAUGCUAGGAAAUACUCAAAUAAUUAUAUAAUUGAGUAUGUUUAGAAAUAAUUAAAAGAUAAUUUAUUACACUAUAAUAAAAUCAUUAAAUAGAAACCAAUUUUAAAGACAUAAAAUAAUUAGUUGUUAUAUUAACAAAAUUAGAUAUUAUUGUAGAGACUAAACAAAUUAUUAGUAUCUAAAUUAGUUUAUAUUAUUAAUAAAUAGUUUCUAAAUUGAUAUCUAAUUAGUUACAUAGGUUUUAACUACUAAUUAUUUAGGUUUUAAAGUUGGUAUCUAAAACUUUGGUAUCUAAUUAGAUACCAAUUUAUAAAUUAUUUAUCAAUCAUAAAAACUAAUUUAGAUCCCAAUAAUUAUUUUAGUCUCUAUAAUAGUAUUUAAUUCUGUCAAUAUAACAACUAAUUAUUUUUUGUCUAUAAAAUUAUUUUUUAUUUAAUGAUUUUCUUGUAGUGUUAUAUUGGUCAAAAUGGUUUUACAUUUUUCGCAAAUAACCUAUUAUUACACGAAAUAAUCAAAUUAUCUUAGCCAAUAUAAAAAAAACUCAACCUUCACAAAUAAUCAAUUAGGUUUCAAUAAUAAUUGAUUUAACUGUUACUAAAAGUGUUUUAUGAAUUGAUGAACGCACUUAAUAUCCGAUUAUCCUUAAUAAUAUUUUGAUAAGUUAUUUCAAAUAUUUUUAAAACUAAAUUCUCUCUCUCAUUCAAACCACAAUUUUUUUUAUAUUAUUUAAAUAGAGAACUCUCGUAUGAUUUAGACAUUUUUCAGAAGAAUACUUUUAUAUAAUACAAUUGUAUUAAUUGUUUUGAAGAAAUAUUGCUCCUGGUCCAUCAGGUCGAUCAUACUAUAGAUUGUUCUAUUGUAAUAGUGUUUCUUGUUCUAAUUACAUAUAUGCUAUUGUAAUCGGAUAAAUCAAGCUUUUAGUGAAAAGUGAAGCUCGAGUUGUUUAGAUCAACUGGAUUUAGAUUUAGGAAGAAUCAAAGCAGUAUACCAAUUUUGUGUGUCUAUGUCUCAUAUUUCUUUCAUUAUCUUAAAUCCUUUGUUAUUAUUAAGUUAUUGUUCAAGCAAAAUAGGUGAAUUUUGGAAUGUUUCUAGAUUAUUUUUGCUCAAACGAGAGGAUUUUUAUUCAAGUGAUGAGGUCUAUUUUCGCUCAAGUUAAAAAAAACUUGAAUCUCUAUUUUUCCUUAUCAAAGUCUGGUUUAUUAUUGUUUAUUGUUUUUAAGUAAAAAAAUCAAUUUUAUUUAAAUAUGUGGGUGUUUAUGUGAAUUUUGUGUUAUUUGUGGAUUAUUUUAAAAUUUUAAAUUUUUGGUGUGAUUGAAUGAUGUAUUAAUGUAUGAUAUGCAGUAUGAAAUUAUGUGAGAGCAUAAUCAAAACAUAGUAUUUUUAGGAAAGAAAAUACCGUGUCGAGAUUGUUAGGAGGAUGUAUUGGUUUGUGAGUACUAUGUGAAAGGCAUGAUCUCGAAACUACCGAUAUAUUGUAAUCAUAUAGAUGAAGAGUAUCAGGUGGUGAAAGUCAAAGAAAGUUCAUUUGGCUGAGUUUGAAGUUUGAAAUAACUUAUCAGAGCAUAUUAUAUGGAUUUACCUGUGUCAUAUGAGGAUGAAUGUCUUGAAGGGGAGACUAUAUUGUGAUAAGAACAUGGUAAAUGACAUGUGUAGGUCACUGAGUGUUAAUUUCAAUACACAAAUCUUCCGGAAGUAGAAUCAAGUGUAUGUAUUGAUCUAAGUGGAUUUCUAGCAUGAAUGAUGUAAAAUAUGAGAUAAAAUUGUAAACACUUGAUUUUUUUGAAUGAUGAUUGUAGAUAAUGGAGGAUGUAUGAUGAUUAAUAUGUUUGUGAUGAAAUUUGUUUUAUUUAAAGCUUUAUUGAAAGUUUUAAAAUUACUAGCUUACCCUACUAUUUAUUGUGUGUUUGUUUUAAAAUAUGUGAUGAUAGUGUAUUAAAUUAUGUUUAAGGUGACACAACUCUAUUCUUAUCCGGUAUUUUCUUUUGAGUUUUAGUUUUAUUGUAUACAUAUCUUUUAAACUUUAUAUAUGAAAAAUAUUUGAAAUAUUGUAUAACUGAUAAGUAUAUAUGUAAAUAUUUAAAUAGAUAAUUAUAAUAAAUAAAUAAGGAUAUUAAAAUUGAGUGUUAAAGUUAAUUUCUUUUAUCAUCGAAUAAUUAUAGAAAAUAUUUCCUUAAAUUUUUUAAAAUCCAAUUUGACCUCUUUUUUAUUGUGUUUUCUUUUUUUACAAUUUUUUUUUCUUCCAUAAAUGAACCAUUUAUAGUGUUGUAUUGUAAAUCUAAGAAAAAAAUUGAACCAUUAUGUCCGGAGAAAAACAAGUUAUCUUCUAAAACCUAACUUUUGAACCUAUCGUUACUCCUCUUCCUUUCAUUCUUCAUUUUCCUUUCAGUUUCGGCUUUUCACUCUUUAGAAUCCAAAGAAUCUUUACCCUUAACACCACAACAUAUUGCUAUGCCAAGCAAGGAGGAUUCACCAUUAGAAGAAGCAAAUCUUCCACUGCUGGAAGAUGAAAGAGAUGAUGAACAAGACCAAAAACUGGCACCAAGGUUUUGGAUGGAGUCAAAGAAGCUUUGGCACAUAGUAGGCCCUUCAAUUUUGAGCCGCGUUUUAUCCUAUUCCAUGUUAGUCAUCACCCAAGCCUUCGCUGGCCGUCUCGGUGACCUCGAACUCGCCGCCAUCUCCAUUGCCAAUAAUGUCGUCGUUGGCUUCGACUUUGGCCUCUUGGUAUGUUUCACUAUAAAGUUUCAACUCCUUCAAUUUUCAUCAAAGCCUCACACUAAAUAUUAAUUUAAACAACUGAAUUAAAAUUACAAUUCUGAUUACAAAGCAGUUUCGUAAAUUGAUUAAACCAAAUUAUUAAUAUCAAUGUUUUGUAAUUGGAGUAGUUGGGUAUGGCAAGUGCCUUAGAAACGCUGUGUGGGCAAGCCUUUGGAGCGAAAAAGUACUACAUGUUAGGCAUUUACAUGCAGCGUUCGUGGAUCGUUCUUUUCAUUUGCUGUAUCUUGCUUUUGCCUCUGUACUUGUUUGCCUCGCCGGUGUUGAAGCUGUUGGGGCAGCCCGAUGAGCUGGCGGAGUUAUCCGGUACGGUGUCGAUAUGGAUGCUACCGGUGCACUUCGCGUUUGCGUUUCAGUUCCCUCUGCAGAGGUUCUUGCAGUGCCAGCUGAAGACUGCGCCUAUUGCGUGGGUGUCUCUGGUGGCGCUCUUGGUGCAUGUGUUCGUGAGCUGGUUGUUCGUGUUCAAGCUCGAGUUCGGAGUUAUUGGCGCUGCUGCAACCAUUAACUUCUCGUGGUGGGUCCUCACCUUGGGGCUUUUUGGCUACAGCGUUUGGGGUGGGUGCCCUCUCACUUGGACUGGUUUUUCAGUUGAAGCUUUCUCUGGCCUUUGGGACUUUCUCAAACUCUCUGCUGCUGCUGGAGUCAUGCUCUGGUACUCUCUCUCUCUCUCUCCCUUUCAACUUUUUGUUCUUGUGUUUCUCAGCUUGUGUUUUGCAGCUUGGAGAAUUGGUAUUACAAAAUUCUGAUAGUGAUGACGGGGAACCUUGAGAAUGCAGAGAUUGCUGUGGAUGCUUUAUCCAUAUGGUAUUUUUACUACUUUUGCCAUCCUUCUACUCUUGUACGACUUGUUAUGCCUUUUCUUUUAGUUCUUGAUUCUAUAAACUUUUAAAUCUUCUGUAAAAGGCUGAUAUGUAAAGUCAUCUAGUGUUUGCUAAUGUAAAGAUUUUAAAUAAGAGUUAGUCUAUGUUUACUUACAACAAUAAACAUCACCUUGGUUAAAAGUAUAAUUAAUUUUGUGAAAAGCUAUUUAAAAUAGUUUAUGAUACACGCGUUUAAUUACCAAAAAAAAAUGACUGACUGCACUUUUUAGUUACUUUUUUCUGAUAAUAUCUUUUUGCCAAUGAUGUGCUCUGUUCGGCAGUAUGACCGUCAAUAGCUUGGAGUUGAUGAUUCCUCUGGCAUUCUUUGCUGCAACAGGGUAAUAUAUAAAAUUUUUCUCUUUUUGUUUUUAUUUAUUCUAGUUUUUAGUUGUGCACAAGUAAAAUAUGGUGGGCGCAGAAGAAACUCUAGAUAUAAUUGAUAAAAAUAUAGACUGCGAGGAGAAUGCGGUUAGGUUGAGGAACCAUAGAGAAGCAGCAACAAUGACCCUAGAAAAUUGCGUGGUGAUUGAGGUUGUUAUCGUGAAGUGGUGCAAGUAAAGAUGAACCUUUUCUCCUCAAUCACCAUUCACCACAAAUUAGUAAUGUCAAUGAAAGAGAAGUCAUAGAAAAAGUUGGUACAAUACAAGAAGUGAAGCCAAACUUGUGCAUUAUUAACAGGUGAUCUUUCUUUUUGUCGGGGAGUAUAGGAUUAGUCUUGCCCUCAUGACACCUAUUUCAACAUAGGUUCCUUUCGAGUACAUUCCUCCUUUUUUAAAACUAUUUUCACCCUUUUCUUUCUCACUAUCUGACAUUUUUUAAUAUUAAAUAUUUGUCAUGGUCCCAAUAGCUCAUAACAAUGACAUCCUCUGCUUUUGUGUUCUGACUGCUCCAUAUGGAGGCAGUGACCAUACAGUAUUAUCAUAUAGCAAGAAUUGAAGGAUACAAAAUACUAAGUAAAUUGUUUUAUUUUCAUUUUUAACAACUAUGUUUAUAUGUUUGCUACAUAAUUAAUUAUAUCGUUAUUUUAAAAAAUUAAAAAUCAUAAAAAUAAUGAAUUAUAUUUUUUCUGUAUUUAAUUCUCGUAGUUUACCGUUGUAUCAGAAACAAACAAGCUUUGUCUGCAUAAAUAGACCAUCUUCCAUAGGCUUGAAGAGAGGAUGAAAAAAAACAAGCAGAGGCUAAGAACAAUUGUUUGGCUAAGAAAGUGUCCUGCAAUUUCUAGCCACAUGUACACCAUCUUACCUUUUACAAAGGUCAUCUAAUUUUUUGGGAAUAAUGAAAAAAGAAAAAUUAUUUUAUAUUUAACAAGAUAAUUGCUUAAUAAUUAAAAUUUAUUUUAAUAAUUUACUCUAUUAAUGUUUUAAAAUAUACCUAGAUAGAAUUUAUAAUCUACCAUCUCACCUCUUAAAAUAAUAAUAAAGAAUGCUAAUUUCUAAUCCUUUUUGGAUUUUUAUUUUAUUGUUAUUAGACCUUUUUGAAUUAUUGAUUUAGUGUUACAGUUGUUAAUAAUUCAUUUAGUUAUUUAAUUAUUUUUUAGUAAAGUAUUUAUUUUAUUAAGAAUAUAGUAACUACUUAAAUAAUAAUAAUAAUAAAUAUUUGAUUAUGGAAAAGUUAAAAUAAAUUAAAAUAUGUAAAUAUAUAAUUAUUAAUGAUAUUUAAUUACCUAAUAUUAAUAUUUGAUUCAAUAACUAAUCAAAACCUUACUUUUUUAUUUUAUAAUUUUUUACUAAUUUAUCACUCAGUUUUAUUAAAUCUUUAAUCUAAUCUCUCUAUUUUGUACUAGUUUCCAACCUUUAACUAACUUUUUUAAUUCUUAGUUAAUCUUUCAACUUUCAGCUAAUUUUAAAACAUAUAACCAUAGUACUACCAGAGACCAUUCAGCAAUACCACCCAAGGUAUAAUGAGCUAUUUUGAAUUCAGGAUUAUAAACCAAUUCAAGGGAUGACCCUUUUGGCAUAAUGCAAAGAAAACAUUAAAACUUACAAGGAAGAGGAAGAUAGGGAAAAAAGUGAGACAUGAUGAAUACUGAUAAUAUUAGUAAAAGAAAAGCCCAAGCUAAAAAUAAUUUUUUAAUUUAUAUAGUUAGAAGGAUCUAAAUAUGUAGAAAUGCAAAUAGUAAUGUUGUUAGUUAAUAUGCAAUGUGCAGAGUGAGAGUUGCAAACGAGCUUGGAGCUGGGAAUGGAAAAGGAGCCAAGUUUGCUACUACAGUAUCUGUGGUAACAUCGGUUAUUAUAGGACUCUUCUUCUGGAUGUUGAUUUUGAUAUUGCAUGAUAAAUUCGGCUACAUAUUCUCCAAUAGCAAACCUGUCCUUGACCAAGUCAACGACCUUUCUCUUCUAUUAGCCUUCACAAUUCUGCUCAACAGUGUUCAACCAGUUCUCUCAGGUAUCUAUUGGUAGUUAAACUUUGAUUAGAAAUUGCAAAAUCAUGAAUGAAUGUUAUUCCCUUUUUGGAUGAUUUCAACAGGAGUGGCUGUAGGAUCAGGUUGGCAAUCAUAUGUGGCAUACAUAAACUUGGGUUGCUACUAUAUUAUUGGGGUGCCUCUUGGAUUUUUGAUGGGCUGGGUUUUCAAACUAGGAGUUAUGGUAUGUUUGUUGCCAUCUUUUUGUCUACUACUUUCUACACAUUUAUGCAGUUUAUUUACCCAGAAUAUGUGAAUUUCACAUGCAUUAACAUAUGAUUCUUACACAAUUUGGUAAUGAAAAUGAACAAAGGGAAUCUGGGCGGGGAUGAUUUUUGGUGGCACGGCUACUCAGACAUUAGUAUUGAGCAUCAUUACCAUUCAGUGCGACUGGGAAAAAGAGGUAAUUUGCUUAGUUUUUUUAUUCUUUUCAGUGGUGUUAAUGCUCCUCACUUUCAUUUAUCUAAUCUUAAUUCAGGCUGAGAUCGCAAAAAUGCGUUUAACCAAGUGGGCAGAUCCAAAACAGGAACUCAACUAACGUAUCUGCAUAUUUAUUUCAUCUGUAAUACUAAAACAACCAAUAUAGUCCACAUGUUGUCAGAAUAUAAAUCAAUUUAGUCAAAACAUUACACUGAUUAACUCAUUAUGGAUCGCAGACUAAAAUCAAACAAAGAACAAAAUGUCAAUUUUUAUGAUGUUUGGGAUUGUGUGUGACAUUUGUAUUUAUCAAUCAAGAUCCAGCAGCAUGAGUUGCUACUAAGAAUAUAAGCUUGGAAACUAACCAAUUUGAAAAGUAUAUAUAAUUCAAUUUAUACACCAAUGGAUCUUACCACCUAGUUUUACACGGUGCACAAUUACACUGAAUCGUUGUAAAAUAAGGAAAAAUGCUUGUAUGAAGAUGAGACGAGGUUAAUAACAACAAUUUUUUCAAAAAUAUUCUCUAUAGUAAGAGGAAAUAUUAAUAACAGAAGAAUAUAUUUUAAGUUUUUUAAAUAGUUUAUAAUUUUUUCUUGUUGCAUCUCUUUUUUAAAUAUGUAUGGAGAAAAAUUAUUGAAGAAUUCAAAAUUUGUAUAUAUAUAUUUUUUUUUAAUUUUACGUCAAUUAAAUCUUGAAUUAAUUAGUAGGAAAAUACUAGUUAUCGAAUAAAUAAUGUCCAUCUUAAUCAAGAGGCACUGAACAUAUUUUUCUUAUAAUAUAAUAAAAUGUGAAGAAACGAUAACUUAUUAUUCAUCUUUUUUUUAAGAGAAUUUUAUUAUUUACGAGAAAUUAGAAUAAAUAAUUCGUAUAAAGAAACAGUUUAGGAAUAAAAAACCUAUUAUAUUCUAAUUUCCCUAAAAUAAAUUAUUAAUAUAAUAUAAUUUUUAGUAUUGAAUGCUUAAACAAUCACUACAAGCAAAUCAUUAAAUAAAAAACUAAAUUUAAAGAUAAACAAAUAAUUAGUUGCUAUAAUGACUAAAUUAGAGACAAAAAUAAUUUUUUAUUUUUAAAUUAGUUUCUAUCAAAUAGUUUCUAUUUAACAAUAAUAGAAACUAAUUUAAAAACUAUUUAACAAUAAUAAAAACUAAUUUAAAAAUUACAAAUUUUUUUAAUCUCUAAAAUGAUCUCUAAUUUAGUAAAUAUAGUAACUAAUUAUUUUUUGUCUCUAAAAUUAAUUUUUAUUUAAUGGUUUUCUUGUAUUAAACAAACAUCAUUUAUUAAAAUUAUUAAUCACUUUUUUCUAAACUUUAAUAAGAAAAACUAUCAAUCACUUAUUUUAAAGUAGAAAAAUAGGCGUAUAACAUUAAGACAAACUUUUAUAACGAGAAUUGAUGUGAUCAAUUAUUUUUUUUUAUAAAUUUUUCAUAAUAGUCUUAUCUAAUUUCACACGAAUUAAAAUAUUUAUUAAAUUUAUUAAAAUUUUCUUUCGAUAAAAUAAAAGUACAUUUUCUUAAAUUUUUUAAUUAUAUUUAUUUAAAAUUUUAUACUUAUUUAAAUAUGAGAGUAUUUUUUAAAAAUAAUUUCAUUAAAAAACAAUGAAGUUCAAAUUUUGUUUAUAUUUAAAUCCCAUACAUAUGACUACUUUUUCUUGUUUACAUUUAAGUUUAGAGAGAGCACUCAAAUAAAAAUAUUUCAUUUAACACUGGUUAAUAAUGUUAAUUAAUUUCAUUUAAUGUUUAAAAAAAUAAAUUUCUUGAACUAUUUAAUCAUAUUUAUUUCACACGAAUUGCAUAUUAAAUUAACUUUAAAACGUUUUAAAAUAACAAUAUUAAACAAUGUCAAACUAAUUAAAUUUUGUUUAUAUUUAAAUUAUAACUUGUUUGUUAUAUUUUCUUUAAAAUAAUUACUUGUAUAUAAGUUUAGAAAAUAUAUAUGAUCUUAAAUCGUAUUAAAUUCAUAAAAAUACUAAUUAUCAUUAAUUAUUUAUGUUAAGAAACAACGACCAAGAAAUCUGGGCUAGGUUAAUUUUUUGUGGACCAUUAAUUGAGAUUGGGCCAUUGAGGUAUAUUACACACAAAAUAUAAACUUUCACAUUCUUUCAAAGAAAAAAAAAGUCAUUUUAUAAUUUAUUUUAAUAAUAUAAUGAUAUACAUUAAUAUUUUAAAUAAAAAAAUAAAAAAAAUAACUAAUAUAGUAGUAUGUUAGUUGUUAAGCUGCUUUUUUUUUAUAUCAGUGGGUCCUAAAAUAUCAUUUCUAAUGUUGCAUUUCAUUAAAUGGACCUAUACCUAUAACUCAUGAAGUACUUAUUGUUUUUUUUACUUUCAUAAAUUUUCGUAUUUUCAAAAAUAUUUUUCUAUAAUAUUUUGAAUUACAUAAUCUAAAAGUCUUUUUACAAAUUUAGCUAUCGAAUUAUAUAAUUUAAAAAAAAUUUAGAUGAAUGAUUAGUUUUUGAAUUACAUGAAAGAUUUUUUUUAGCUUCCGGAUUAUGUAAUUCAGAAUUUUUUUUUAAAUGCCUGUUAGAUUACAUAAACUGAAAACUACUCUAUGAAAUGACACAAGAAGAAUAAAAAGAUAUUAAAAAGAUAUAUGAGGUGUCAGAAGAAUAUAUGGAGAGGAAGAAAUAGUUAGUACUUGCUUUCCUUUUCAAAUGCACAUGCCCAGCAAAAGAAGAAUGAAUGGGCUUCUUGGUAGAGUUAGCUUAUCAUCAUGGAAAUUGCCUCAGCACCCAAUCAAUUUUUUUUUUUUUUAAUUUUCAAAAUUGUCAUUCAUUUCAGAAUUGAAAAUCCAGAAUUAAGAAAUAUAUUAUGAGAAAAAAAAAUCUAAAUAGUUUUUUAUAGUUCAGAAAUAAAAUUUUGAAAUAAAGUUGGAAAAUCAAAAUUCCAUUAAAAAAAUUCCAGAAUAAAAAAAAAUAUUUUAAAAAUAAAAUACGCUAAAAAAUGGAUUUCUGAAAUGUAUUUCAGAAAAAAAAUCUAAACAUAUUUUAGAAAAGGAAUUCUGAAAUCUAAAUAUAUUUCAAAAAUCCAAAUUAAAAAAUGUAUUUCGAAAUACUAAAUCCAGAAUCUCACCUAUCUCCUUUUAUUUAAAAACUAAAAAGGAAAUUUUAUCAUUUUACAUUGAAAACAUUGGAUGCAGGAAAUAAUUGCCAAUCGUCAUUCUCUAAUCACCUUCUUUAUUAGUAAACACCAAAUUAUUAGUUAAUAUUAUAAUUUUAAAUGAAAAUACAUAAAGUUGUAUUAAUAGUGGGCUUUGAACUUUGGAGCCCAAAUGUUCUUUUGAUUAACACUGCCCCUCUAUUGGGCUCGUAUGGGUGCAGACUGAUGGGCUCUCUUAUAGCUACUUAUAACUCCUUGUGGAUACAUACACACCAUAAGAUUACAAUCCUUGAGGAAUUUUGACUCGAUUGAGUGAGGAGUUAAUAUGACUAUAGGUUAAAUAAAUCUAAUCUACACUCUGAACUAAUAGAAAAUAUUUUUUAAUGACUCUUCAGUUAUUUAUAACUACAAAAAUUAAUAAAAACUACUAUUUGAAAAAGAAUAUUUGGCUAGAAUUUCUAAUUGCUUAAUUUUUGUAUCAAUGAAGAAAAUAACCUCCAAUUCUGAAACCAACACAAAUCGUGGUCCAAAUACUUUCAUAUCGAAAGAGUAUGGCAUUGGAAAUGCACGGCCCCGUUUGGAGAAAUCCUUAGAAGAAUGUGUUGUUUUGUAAAAUAUGGGAGAAAACGGUGAAAAGAAAAAGCAAGGUAGGUUAAAAAUGUGUAAGAUUUGAAGGUAUAGCAUAUGCAUGUGAGUUGUUAUCCAUAAAGAUGGAGGCAGAAAGAAAAAUCCUUGACAGAGGAAAGUGAUUUGGAAAUUGUAUGAAGAUAAUAUUUGGUAUGAUUAUAAAAAGGGAAAGUAGGCAUUGUUUGAGCAUAUUAAUUAAAAAGGAGAAAGAAUGGUUGAAAAUAGUGUGUAUGAGAAGAAUAGGUAAAGUGACAACAGUGGAUGGAGCUGACAGAGGUCACGUGUGCCAUAAAAGUUGAUUGGUAGAGUGUUUUGUCAUUGUUGUGUGAGCAACAGGUCCAUCUAUGUUUGCAUUGUUCACUGAAGGUUGGGGUAAUGCUCACAACACAUGUUGGGGUGUUCUCUAUGUUAGGCUUGUGGGUGCUCAAUCACACACCCACCAAUCACAUUCUCCACUCUUUUUCAACUCUUCUCUACACCUUCACUUUCUUAUUCCCUUACAAAUUCUUACUAUAACAUCAAAUCUAUUCCAAUUUUUUAAAUUCAAAAAUAUUUUUACCAUUUCACAAAAUUUACUUCUUACUUAUUUCAUACCAACAACAAUAUUGAUGGACGGUCAAUAGUUAUCAUCAUGUCCUGUCACAGUUUCUAAUAUCUCUUAGUGUCACGUCGCAAGUUUUAUCAACAUUAUAUAUAUAUUGACACUAAAGAAAAAAUCAACGUUAUUCCAAAAAUUUAAGAAUUAAACCUAAAAUCAGUCACAGUUGACAGUUUUACAAUUUUAAGAUAAUUUAAAAAAUAUCAGGAAACAUGAUUCACAUAUGGAAUAAGCAUGAGAAGGAAUUGGUGAGAUAAAAAGAAAGAGGAAGAAAGUGAUUAUGAAAAGGAAAUAGUUGGUAGAUAAUUAGUAGUUGCAUUAGAAAUUUGUGAAUAUCACAUGAAUGAAUGUGGUCCAAACUCUCAUCACCACAACUCCAUUAUCAAUAAUGAGAUUGGGAUAAGAUAAGUUCCUCAUAACCUCAAAAUGGGGAUAAAGACUUCAACAAACUACUUUGCCCAAAGCCCAAACACUUGCUAUUGCAAUUUUAACCUACUUUUUAUAAAAAUAACAAAUUAGGAUGAUUUAUAAUUAAAUAAUAUUAUAAAAUGUCUUACACGUUCAUCUAUUGAUAUUUAAAAAAAAAAUCAAACUUACCUCCAAAAUAUGGAACUAUUUUUCAUUGAUUAAUUAACCAUCAUCCAAGUGUUUUUUUUUUCUUCCUAUAUAACGUUUUCUGUUUAUAGGAUUUAUUCCAUUGCAAUUUAAGGCAGACACUGAACUAAAUUAAGGAGGGUAUGAGUCCUGUCGUGUUAAAAAUGGUUUACAUUUGAUUGUUAGCAUUAUUAUUAUUUGAAAAGACAAUUUCAUUAUUAUUAUCAUCAAUAUAAUAAUAAUGAGAAAGCUACUAUUCAUUAAGAUAUUUGUGAGAAAUGGUGCAGAACUUGUUUAGGGUGAAAAUCCUCCUCAAACUUGGAUAACUUUUGCUUAGAACAAAAUGAUUAAAGAUUUUGAAAUAAAAGGCAAAGGCAAAGAAGGUGAGAUAGAUUUUUUUGUUUGUUCAGAUUAUACUUAUCUCUUCUUCUUUCCAUUUUAACCUCUCUUUUCCUUUCAAAAGUUGGUGUGAACAAAUAGAUGGCAAUUAAUUAAAUUAAAAGCAAAAGCAAGAUCAUGACAAUUGACAUAUGUCAUAGUAUAACACUAGCUCUCGGUGGUUCAUACUGUCUUUUUUAACUUCAACAAAUUUUGGUCUGCAUUUAAUUUUGAUUUUCAUACAAUUCACUUAAAUAAUUCAAUGUCAUUACAAUAAUUAAUUUUAAACUAGUGUAUGAGAUAUUUAAAUUGUUUACCUUGUCGUUACUUAUUGUCUUAAGAGUCGGCGGAAAAAAACUAAAUAUAUCAUAGAGACUAAAGAAAUGUAGUAUUUUUAUCAAAACAAAAGUUAUAGAGUAAUGUAUCAUAAGAUCACAAGUUAAAAGAAUAGUUAAGGACAAUUAAGUAACCUCGAAAGAUUGAAUAUUACAUACAUUAUUUAUAAACUAAAAGUAUAUGACAUAUGUCAAUUGAUAAAAGAUAAAAUAAAAAAAGUAUAUGACAAAACUAAAAAUAAAACUACAUCAUAAUAUACAAGUUUAAUCAUAUUUUAAUUCUGAAAUUUGAAAUAAAUCCUUUAUAAUUCCUAAACUUAAAAGGGUUUAGUUUAGUUCCUCAAAGUCUAUAAAAUAUUACUUUAAUUUUUAAACAAUAAAUUUAGGGAUUGAAAAUAAUUUUAAAAAAUAUAUAUUUUCAAUAUCUCAAAUUUGGUAUUUUAUAGUUUAAAUUAUAUUUUUUUAAAUUUUGAGGAGAUAGAUGGUUUUUUUCUAAUUUGGAGACCAAAAUUAGAAUUAUAUUGAACUUUAAGAUUAAAACAAAAUUAAAUUUAAAUUAUGUGAAUCAAUAUCUUACUCUCAAAUGUUUUUAUUUAUUUAAUUUGGUUUUAUCAAAUAAAUUUUUAUUUAAAAAUUAUAAGUAAACUUUACUAAAAUAUUUUAAUAAGAGUUUAUAAGAUUUCCAAUAAUUAUUUUCACAAACCUAAAUAAUUUUUCUAAAAUACCUGAUUAAUUUAUAAAUUAUUUAAAAUUCUUUAGGUUACUAUCUAUAAAUGGAAUAAUAACAUGUGUUUCCCUAGUAGAAAAAUGGAGACUCGCCAUCAGAAUUAAAAAGUUGAUUCCUAAGUAUUCCGUCAAUGGCCUCAUUUCUUUAAAUAUAUUUUUUUUAAUAUUAUAUGCAAAAUUAUUUUUUAUUAUAGUCUAAAUUUUAUAUUUCUUGUACUUAAAUAAGUCCUAAUGUAACAAAUGAAUUUUGGUGAAUCAUAAUAUUAAAAUAUUUUAUGUUGAUUUAUUGAUGUAUAUAUUAUAAUAUUAUAAUAAUUUACGUUAGAAUAGUUUGCUAUGUAAAUGAAAACAUUGAUAAAAACUUAUUUUAUUAAUUUUUUUACUAUAAAUAUCUAGAAUAGCUCAAAUUGAACUAGCAGCACUCAAAAGUAUAUGACAAAAAAUAUAUUUAACAACAAAAUAGUGUAGAUUUAUAAAUAAUUACAGAUGUAGAGUUUGGUUUCAAAUUAAUGCAAAAUAAUCACAAAAGUGGUAAUAUUUUUUAUUAUGAUGAGAAGAAAAGACGUUAUAGAUAGAUUCAUUGAUUGAUGAUAUGCAUAUAAAGAAGGUCCUUUCUAGCAUUGAAAUAUAGUAAAUAACGGUUGGGAGAUAAUCUCAUACACUUUAAAUCAUUUCCUUCUUUGCUGCUGAUUGAACUUUCUGGCAAUCGAAUCAGAAAAAGUGUGAAAUUGAAGCGCACCAAAUGGUAGGUUACAUGAAUUUUGAUGUGAAAGAACAGGUUUAUGUAGUUAUUUAAAAAAGGGGAACAUGAUAAUUAACUAAAUUAGUGAACUAAUGAUAAAAUAAAAAGCAUAAAGGAUGGUGAUAUCACCUUUUGUUUAUGUCACUCAAUUAUUAUUAGCUAAAGCUGAGACAUAUUUUGUCGUCUCACAUUCAUGCUGCCUAAUCCAUGCUUCGCACGCCAAAGGUUCGGGAAACCAGUUUACAUAAUACUCAUCAUUUUACCAAUUACAACUAAUUCAUUCAUUGUCAUAUCUUAAGCUUCCUAAUUUUCACUAAUUCUAUAAACCAGCUAUUACUCUCUCAUUAAUUCGUCACCCCACCAAUCAAUUAAAAUUACUGAUCUUUCUCCUCUUUCUUUGCUGAUAAAAAAAAAACUGAUCUUUCUCCUCCCAAAUAUAAGAAUAAUUUCACAUCAUACUAUUA